UUUUUUUUUUUUUUUUUUGUAAAGAGUAAUUUAACACAAAUGAUAAUAAACAUAAAUAACAAAAAUAAUUUAAUUAACAUUGGGCAAAAUAAAUAAACUAGAAGCAACAAAGUGCAACUUCCAUUUUCCUUUUUUCAUUUUUCAUUUUUCAUUGUUUUUCUUCUUUUUUUUUUCCUUUUCAAAAUAACUUAACAAAAAUAAGUAAGAUGCUAAAAGAUUGAUUUUAAAAGACAUAAAACAUAUUUUUUGGAACACUUUUCUUUUUCCUUUGAGAAAUUCUAGCUAAAAUGGCUAAAAUAACUAAAACUAAAAGUAAAUAAAACUAAAUGUGACAAUUAAAAAUAGAACAAAUAAAAACGAAUAGUAAAUAAAUAAAUAAAUAAUAAAACACCAAAAAUUUGGUGUCUACACCAACCAUGCAAUUCUUUUUUUUUUUCCAGAAAAAGAAGAGAAUCAAAGAGGGGAAAGCACUAUACAUCUCCCCUCCCCACCCCUAUUUGCCUUCUUGGCCAAAAACAUGAAGAAAAACUCACACUUUCGCAUCAAUUUUGAGCCAUAUGAUGAAUUUAUUGUUGAGUUUUUCUAGCCUUUUUUUUCCCAAAAUUGACCUCCUAGCAUAAAUGUUUGCUUUUUUAUUAUUGAUUGUUUUGUAAGUUUGAAAGAAUUAAGAAGAAGCAUAGCAAAGUAAACAUCUAGUGUUUAAGGUGUGUGAUCAUCUCUUACAAUAGUAACUUGCUUUGUGUUUGAUGAUUUGCUUCUAAAGGUAGCUUUACCACUACACUGGUUUAGUUUUCUGAAAAUUUACGUGUCCCAUUGUUAUGGAGUAUUAGAUGAUUUGAGAGAUGUUCUUUAGCUUACUGUUUGGUCCUAAACAAAAAUGAUUUGACUUUUGCCUUUGUGUUUGUAUGCUGAAUGAUCCUUUAAUGUCUUGCACAGGCUCGAACUAUCUUUAAAUUUCAUUGGAAAUAAUACUUUGAUAGACCUAGAAACAUUAAUUUCAUCGAUUGUUUUUGACUUUUACUGCAUUGUCAUGUUAUUGACUAUCAUAGUUAGGACCAAAGACCAGUUAAAGAGUAUUUCCCCAGCUUCUACUGUCUUGGUUCUAAUUUUCCACAUGUUUUGGGGCUCAACAAGUAGAAUCUGCACUCAUGAUUUGUUUGAUAUAAUUUGGUUUCUGCUUAAAUUUUGGUUUUAGGAACUGGUCAUGCACUGAUUAAUUCCCGGCACAAAUAAGCACUUUUGAGUUCCAUACCUUGGUUCAUUGAAAGGAGAUUGUUCAAUGGACGGAUCCUAACUUGGGGGUACAGAGACUUUUAACAUACCUCAGUCUUCAAUUGUUUUGCAGCUUCCUUGUUAUAUUAGUUUCUCUGGUUUUGCACAUGGACAUGGACAUUGCUUUAAUUACCCUACUGCCAUAAUAGUUCGCACAUGGACAUGGUUUUUCAACAUGAUGACAAUUAAGAUCUUCCUUGUUCUAUUAAUUUUAAAAUUGAGAGUUAUAGGGAAUUUUUCAAUUUUUUUUAACACAACAAAUUCACAUUGGCACAGCUAGAAAAUUUCCAGUAAUCAACUGUAAGUGACUGGCUUCUAGCAUCCUUACAAUAGGUAUUAAAAAAAAAGCCAUAUUUUUUAGCCAUUUAAUGUGCUAGUAACCUCCAAAGGGUCACCAGCAUGUAACUUUAGAAAAAUUUUGUAUCCUCCCUUGUUAUUUGCGUUGGGGAACAAAUGACAAGUCUAUGUAACAUUGGUAUAAAAUGUAUUUUAAUAAAAAGGUUCAAUUAAAUGUGCAAUUAGGUUGAAAAGAACCAUAAGCUGAGUUAGAAAGGUAAAUUUCUUAUGUACAAGGGGCUGAAAUUAUAUUUAAAAAAGUAGAAAAUCGUCAAGAGAUCAAAUUACUUGCUGAAAAAGAUAAUAAAGUCAAAAUACAUAAUUUUCGUUGUCAAACCCUACAUUCCUAAUCCCUCGUUCAGGUGGCUGCCAAACAGAGCACCUCUUCAGCUCUUCUUCUCUUAUUAACUAAAACAAAGCCACUCUUCCUCUUCCUCUUAGAUUAGAUGCCAUCGUUACAAAAUCUCCUCCUCUGCCAUUGAAAGAGAAUCAACAGCCGGUACUUAUUAAGCGAAAAGACAGCAGGUAUGGUGAGUGUUUUUCUUUUCAAAUGUCUAGCAGCCUUCUUCUUCUUUCUUUCUCAUCCGUAGAGCCACCCUGCUGAUAGUUCUAAUCUUGUAAUUCAUUUUUCAGCCUUGGUUUGAAUUUUUAGGCGUUUGGUUGUUCUUUUUUUACUUUAAAAUUGCUUGUAAUUUUCUAUUAAAUUGCUUUUUUUUUUGGGUUUUGGAGUGGCUGUAAUUGGACAUAUUUCAUAGUGAACUUUGGCAUUUUUAAGGUUUGAACGAUCAGGUCGUAAAGAUAGUGAUGAAGUUGAUGAUAAUUGUAUACUGGUACUUUGUGUUGAUAAUGAAGAAAGUUGGAUGUUAGGAUUCUUGGCCUUAUACCCGAGUUGGAAAUUCGAUGAUGAAGAUUUUUAAGCCUUGUUCCAAGUUUAAAAACAUUGUUUACAACUACUGUCUAUCGGAAUUUAGUAAUUUGUUUUCUAGGAAGAAAUGAUGGUGGAGGAGAAACGAGAAGUAGAAGAAGAGGAGGUAAAGGUGGUGGAGGAGGAGGAGGAGGAGGAAAGAAUUCAGAGCUUCAAAGAAUUGGGAGUGUGCUCAGAGCUGGUGGAGGCGUGCGACAAUUUGGGAUGGAAAGCACCCACAAGGAUUCAGAUGGAGGCCAUUCCCCACGCCAUUCAAGGGAGCGACAUCAUUGGACUUGCCCAAACUGGUUCGGGUAAAACCGCUGCCUUUGCUCUGCCAAUUCUCCAAGCUCUUCUUCAAGCUCCCCAACCUUUCUUUGCCUGUGUCCUUUCUCCCACACGGUUUCUAUUUCUUCCCUUUUCCUUUAUCUUAUUUAUCUAUUCACUUAUGUAAUUCUUCUGCACGGUACGAUUUUUUUCUAAAAUUUAUAUUGUUUUUGCUUACAGAGAGCUGGCUAUUCAAAUUUCUGAACAGUUUGAAGCUUUGGGAUCAGGGAUUGGAGUCAAGUGUGCUGUGGUCUGCCUUCUUUUUCUCUUUUCCAUUUUUUUCCCUUUGGGAAACUUUAACCUUAUAGAUCAAUUUCUUCAAACCAAAAUAGAAAUGUUAAUGCUUAUGAUUCCCCCCUGCCUUUUAUUUUUUUAAAAUUAUUUUGUACACUUCAAAAUUUUGUUUCUGUAACUGAAGAGAUUACUGUUGCUUAUGUAGUAGAUUAACUUGUGGUGUACAAUUAUUUUCCAGCUUGUUGGAGGAGUUGCCCAAACUGACCAGAGCAUUGCCCUUGCUAAGCGCCCCCAUAUUGUUGUCAGUUUCAUUCUUCCUCCUUUUUUUCCCUCCUUUUUCAGCUUUUCUAUUUUCUUCUUCAUUUUAGGAGUUUCUCUUUACUGCUUCAUUUCCAAAGCCACAUCCAUUUUCUUUGCUGCUUAUACUUAUCUUUUCCAUCUUUCCUCAAUUUUAGGUGGCAACCCCUGGUCGCCUCAUUGAUCAUCUUUCGAAUACUAAAGGUUUUACGCUGCGUAUGUUGAAGUACUUGGUAAGUUUCCUUCAUAUGUGGAAAACAUUUGGAGUUGUGUUUUGAUAAUUUUUUUCUCUAUGUUAGGUAUAUGCUUGUAAAACCCCUGCGUGCAUGCCUUAGGACUUGAAAAAAGUUUGUUGUUAUUUUGGACUGAUGGGUCAUUUGCUUCCAAGAUAGCUGUGUAUACAAGUUUGCAUACUUUGAACAUGUGUGACUCUCUCUCUUUCUCCUGAUUUGAUCCCAAUUUCUGCCAAAAAUGCAAAAGAUCAGGCUCUGUAUGAUGUGAAAUACUUGUUGCUCUGGAUAUGAUGGUUCCUCAUCUUUCUUAAAAGGACAUUAAUCCUGUGUUUUAAUGGCAGGUAUUGGAUGAAGCAGACAGGUUGCUGAAUGAGGAUUUUGAGAAAUCACUAGAUGAGAUAUUGAAUGUUAUUCCUCGUGAAAGGAAGACAUAUUUGUUUUCUGCUACCAUGACAAAGAAGGUAUAUGGUCAAUUAAUUAUUUUGUUUUGCUUGUGCAGAACUAUAUUAGCUGAUCUUUUCUGUGUCGUGUAGCUGUGAGCUGAGCUCAAUAUUAAGAGAAAUCACUGGCAAACAAGUGCAAGUGUUAUGUUGUUCUGUAAAAAGUACCAUGGUACUGAAAAAACUGUGAUUCUUGUUUUACAGGUCAAGAAGCUCCAGAGGGCAUGUCUGAGGAAUCCUGUGAAGGUAGUAUGGUUGUUACCCCACUAUUCUGGAUGUUCUUUGGGAGUGGAUGAUCUGACUUUGUUUGCAUUUUCUUUCAGAUAGAAGCUGCAUCUAAGUAUUCCACAGUGGAUACGCUUAAGCAACAGUAUCGCUUUGUUCCUGCAAAGUAUAAGGUAUGCCUUUUCUGCAGUGUCACAUUUCUGUUAGUUGAUUGAGCAUAUGCUUGUGUGCUUGCAUUGUUUCUGCAUGCCAUAAUAUGUGUUUCCACUCUGUUACUGAAAUUCUUUUGGGCAAAUAUGCUAAAUCACUCAUUGUUCUUUUCUUUCUUUCUUCUGAAAUCAAAUUACUUGCCGUGCAGGAAUGCUAUCUUGUUUAUAUUCUAACUGAGAUGUCUGGAAGCACAUCGAUGGUGUUUACACGUACAUGUGAUGCAACUGGUCUUUUGGCUUUGAUGCUGAGGAACCUGGGCUUAAGGGCCAUCCCUAUUAGUGGCCAUAUGACCCAGGUAUGGCCACUAAGUGUGUUGAGAAUUUGUCAUAGUGAAGUUCGUUUUCAACUGCAUAUGUUUCUGGUUAAUCGUUUAUUGCUUCUCUAUUUAGCGUGCUCUCAGGUUUUGAUUUCUCUGGACAGGCAAAAAGACUCGGAGCCUUGAACAAGUUUAAGGGUGGAGAAUGUAAUAUCCUCAUUUGUACUGAUGUUGCUAGUAGAGGGCUAGAUAUUCCAUCUGUUGAUAUGGUUAUUAAUUAUGAUAUCCCCACAAACUCAAAGGUCAGUUUCUUUCCUUGUUUUUCAAGUUGGCAUUCUAAAUUCAUGUUUCCCAUACUCUAAAAUUUUUUAAGUUCUUGAUAACUGCUUCAGUCAAGAUUUAACUUUGACUACCUCUGUUUUGUCUGCCGUUGCAGCAUUGUUGUCUCUUCUCAAGGAAUUAUCUUUGCCCUUUCUCUAUCUUGUGCUGUUCUGGAUGCUGACUGCUUGCCACGUGCCUUUGCUUCUAAAUUGCAUUUUAUGUUUCAGUAUCAUGUUAAGUUAUGGAAGAAAUGUUCUGUGCUCUUUUCCCUCUUAUUUACUAUUAUUUUGACUAGGCCUUUACACCUUAUUGGGCUUUGCCUUCCUAUCAUCUUUGACGGUGCUGUUUUUUCCUGUUCUAAUGGCAUUUGUCGUAAUUCAUGGACGACUAAGUUGUGCUUUGUCAAAAAUGGGCAGCUUGACCUAAGGGCAUGGGGAAGUUAGGAGAGGGUGUCAGGAUGUGGGUUUGUGUCUGAUUCCUUGCGGUUACUGGAUUGUGUUUUGUUGUAUCUAUGAAACAGACAUCUUUGUGAUUUAUUAUCUGUAAAAAGUUUUGCUUACUUAUAUAAUGUGCUAUACCUUAUUGAAUGAAUGCUCUCCAGGACUAUAUACAUCGGGUUGGAAGAACUGCUCGUGCAGGACGAUCAGGUGUUGCCAUUUCAUUAGUCAAUCAGUAUGAGUUGGAGUGGUAUAUACAAAUAGAGAAGCUCAUUGGUAUGAACACAUCCUGUACUCUAUGAGCGUUUUGUAGAUGUGAUGUAAUCUUUGUUCUUCGGAUUUACAUUUUUAUGUCUCAGGGAAGAAGUUACCCGAAUUCCCAGCUCAAGAAGAAGAAGUCUUGCUUCUGUUGGAGCGGGUCACGGAGGCUAAAAGAAUCUCUCAAAUGGUACAAAGUUGUAUUUUUGGUUUUAAACAUCUUUGCAAUAACUGAUUUGGGUUGCCUUGCACCUAGCUGCUACUCUCUCUCCCUCUUCCUUCCUCUCCCUCUCCAUCAUGAUGGCAUUUGCUUCGGUCCUUGGCGCCCCCUUCCUCCCUCUCACAAAUUAGCAUUCUGCCCUUAGAAACGUGCACUAGUUGACUAUUUCUAUGAUUUAUCUUUGACAGAAACUCAAAGAAACUGGUGGGAAGAAGAAACGAAGGGGAGGAGAUGACGUCGACGAAGAUGUUGAUAGAUAUUUAGGUUUGAAGAAUGGGAAAGCAAAAAAGUUUAAAAAUCGAUGAUGAUAGAAUGAAUGCAGCAGUAGCUUACAGGGUUUUCAGAUAUUAGCAAUCGGAAAUAUGAAAAGCUUAGGAAGAGAUCAUGAAGGGGGACGAUUUGAAAAUGUAAAAUCAUUUAAGAAGCCUGAGUAAAGAUCCCUACCAAUUUUGUUCCAUUUUAAUCCUAGAUGGGGUACGAUAGAAUUUUAUUUCUUUUUGCUUUUUAAAUAUAAUUGUAUUGUUGCCUAAAGGUUUCUAUAUUAUUGUUUAGAAACUGAUUAUGAAGUGAAAAAUUGUGCAUUUAUGGGCUAUACUGGGCAAAAAAUGUCUGCUGUAGUUUGGUAUGAUCACUUAACAUCACCAACCUUGGCUUGAUGCUUGUGUUGAAGUAAUCGCUGUGUGUGAUAGGAUGGUACCCAAGGCGGAGCGACGCUCGACCCCUUCCAAAAUGGAUACAAGUUGAAACUGGUUAAAGAUGUAUGCUGCAUCUGACGGAUCAUUUAUUUUCCAUAUUAAGAUGCUAAUGUUGCCGUUUUGCUAUUACGAAUCAGAUGAGACUAAAAUAUCAUGUUUAUGAAUGAGAAAUAGCAAUACAAUGACGUUAUUAAUCAGAUGAGUCUAAAAUAUCUUGUUUAUGAAUGAAAAAUAGUAAUAUAAUAAGAAAUGGUAUACAGAGUGGCACAGGAAAUGAAACAAAAGAUUCGUUGAGUUAAGCUCUAUCUUCUUAUCAGUCAUUUUAUUACUGAUCCUAUUCAUUGAAUGAAGUGCUCUCAAGAGGAGUGAAAAAUCAUAGCUCCUAGGCAUGAGGGAGUGCUCAAAAUUGUGAAGAGCUUUCAGGUCUCACUCCGUGGAAGAGAUCAAAGAGUACUUGGAAACUCUGAACUUGGAGAAAUAUAUGAAUAUAUGUAUCAAAUGUGGUAAGAAAAUCACUGUAAAUCUGUAAGACCAUUACUUUGUGCAUUUGCUGAUGUUACUAUUAAUUGAUCAAUCGUCAAGCUUAAGCUCCUGGAAUCAUUAUCAUGGAGAUUGAUUGUCUAUUAUUGAUUCAUUUUACAUUUUGCUUUCUUUAAGAGAUGUAAGAACCUGAUAUUUGACUAAUUGGCAAAACUCUGAAUCGAACUUUCUGCAGUUCUGCUCAACCUAGGACAACAAACUUGUGAAGCAGUAUCACUUAGAAAGAUGCUGAAGGCCUCUUGAUUGGUUCUCUUUCUUCCUAGUCAGAGGGAGGUUUCACAAAUGAAAAAGGAUGUUACUACUAUGAUAAAAAUUAAAUAAAUCCUAAAUUAAGACAAAUUGACUUUGCUUGCACAUUGCCAACAAGAUCCCUGCAUGUUUUUCAAGUGAAGAUAAGGCACAUGAAGCCAUGAAAACCAAUUUGAAUCUGCACUAAAUCGAAUAACCCUGCCUUGUUUAGGCAUUUGAAACAAAUUUCCCUACACUGAUGAAAGUAAAUCCUUAAAAAUCAAAUCAUCUGCUGGAGAAAGUAGUUCACAAAUGGGGGUUAGUGGUGGAUUAAUUCCACAUUUUCGUCUAAUGCAGAUCAGCAACAGAAGACCAUAUACGUUCCAAGUCCCUUGUAAAAUCUUUUUCUCUACCUAAAACUACACUGCCGUGGUUGGCAUUGGCAAUCUUGUCAAUCUCUGCUUCUUGAACUUGCUUUUGAAUGUUGAUGCUGCAUUCAAUUGGGACUACUUGAUCUCGAGUGCCUUGGAUAACAUUGAUUUUCACUUUGGCCAUUCUCAAAGUCUCCAAGUACUUAUCAGCUAAUUUAGCCCCUCCACAUAUGACAUUAUGCAUUGUGUGCCAAGCAGAAUGAUGAGUAUGCCGAGUCAAGUCUAUAAACGUAAAAUGUAGAUUCCUGAAGCAGAAAGAGGUACAAUUCAGUUCUACUUCGAAAAUUUUCAAGGAUUGUUGAAAUGCAUCCACACAAAAAAAAUAAAUAAAUAAAAUAAAAUCAAGAUUGAUGCUUAUUGUAUAAUUUACCUUCUCCUGGUGAUGAAUUUCAAGAGUGAUUCCCACAUUUUAUGAUUUCGGCAAAUAAUGAAGCACACACAUCUGCCUAAGUGUUCAUACCAAGACAUAAAUGAUGAACCAAAUAAAAGAGGUGGCCACAGUCUUUUCGCUGCAAGUCUUUCAAGUGCUACCAUACUAGCAUCCUCUCUCAAAGAAGAGAAGUAAGGCUGAAAUAGCAUGAGAUCACAUUGUCAUAUAGACACAACAGAAAUGAAAAACAAGAAGGAAAAAUAACAGAAUUGUAUCGUAAAUGGAUUCUGGGACAAAAUUCGAUCAUCCCAUGAUGCUUCUCACUUUAUAGCUUCAAACAGCAUUUUACUGUUUAACAUAUCGUGCACUCACCGGUGCUAUGAGGGUUAUUGAUUUCACAGAUUUAGAAUGUUUUGCAGCUAAUGCCAAAGCAAUGAUACACCCCAUGGAGUGUGCAACUAGAUGAAAUGAAUUCAGCUGAUAUGGACCGAUCACUGAGUACUCAAUCAUUUCUAGGUGAUCCUUGAGGGUGUAUAAACAGUCCCUUGGUUUUGGACUUCUCCCAAAUCCCAAUAGAUCUACAGAAAACAAUCUGCAAUUUUGCUUUGCAGAUUCAGAUAAAUUAGGAAAUACAGUUUCUGUCCAGAAUGAGGAGGAUGAGAGAAAACCAUGCAAAAAUAUCACAUUUUCGGCUUCCCUUUCUUUGCUGUCCACCCAGCUAGCUGCCAAACACACAAUGUCUGUCAUUACCAAGUCUUACACAAAAAAGUCAGUUGAGCUUUUGGAAUGCUGAUGCAACAUGUUUUUAGUGAUGCAGCAAAUCUUGUACCGAAAAUAUUCAAAUGCAAGUUCCUUAUCUAACAUGUGAAAAUUCUUCUUUAAUGGUUUGCUCCCAAAAAGCAUAGCUUUUGAUUCUUCCAGGCAAGGUAGUGAGAGAAUAAUGCUAGUGGAAAUAAGAAAUACAGAUAGAAGAAACAUUUAUGUCGAUUUAUCAUAGACAUCUACAUGGAUUAUGUCUAUUUUGCCAACCGAUAUGAAUGUUUCUUCGAGUAUUAUUAAUUGAAAUGGCCAGAACAACCAUCAAAUUUGGACUUUUGAUUAAAAAAUGUGACUGGAAAGUUUUCAAAACAGAAAAAUUAAUCAUCAAUUUUGAAUUUUACUGCUUUAAGCAUUUGAGAUAAUGUCUUUUCUGCUUAGGCCUCAGUCCAAUAAUUUCAGUAGCUUCUUUGAGUGCCCUUGUUAUUGUCAGAGUUUUCUUAGAAAAUACCCUAAUACAAUGCCAAUUUAAUGAUUGAACAUCUUUAAAUUGUUUAUAUCAUCCACAAGUUAUGCUGCUGAAAUUGUUGUUUGGUAAAGUAUAAAGAAAGCAGCUUUGUCUGUGCAGGCAUACACUGUUGAAAUCAUCUUUAGGGGCCCAAUCUACGUAAUAGAAUUGCUUGAAAUACAAAGAACAGGGUAAGCAGGGAAACUAGUUGCUGCAAUACUUCGAGAGAUUGACUUGUCAAUAAGGUUCAAGAAACUGAAUUAUCAGUAGUGUUACUAGAUGUUGAGGCACACCUAACAAAGCCAAAAAAUUCCACUAGUUAUAAUGGUCCAAAAAGGCAAGAACAAUCCUUGCUAAAUCCCAAUUCUUCUGUUGGAUAUACUCUUCCUAAAAGUAUUAUGCCACUUCUAAUUUAAUCCAGCAAGGGCUCCUUAUCUAGCUGACAAAAUACAAAGGGCAGGUUAACCAGGGGAGCUAGUUGCUGCAUUACCUUCAGAGAUGGAGUAGUCGCUAAGGUUCCAGAAACUGGAGAAUCAUUGGAACUGGAUACUCAGCCACACCUAACAAAGGCAGAAAUAUCCACUCAUCAUAAUGGUCCCAAAACUAUCCUAAAAUUGUUCUGUUGGACAUACUCUUUCUAAAAGUGUUAUGGGCAUUUUUAUCUUAUCCGGCUGCAGCUCCUUAUCUAGCCACAAAACACAAAGGACAAGAAAAGAUUCCACAUUACAUUAGCUCACAGCCUCACACUAUUCCAAGAGUCUGCCUGCAGUUUGUCAUUUUAUAAGCUAUUAGCAUCAUUUACUGCAUUUUGUAAAGCCAAUUGAACUCUAAAGAGAAAGAAGUUUUUGAAUGAAACUGUUUGGUUGAGUUCAAGAUUAUUAUAUUCUAGAAGAAAAAAAUUUAUAAUAUUGGCAAAUUUAAUCUCUACGUACAUUAAUGUGAUUACAUAUUAAUCUCUCUUGCUGCAAAUUUUACAUGCAAAACUGUGACAGCUGAUCCAUAAAAUUCCAUCCAAAAGGGCUACAGGGACCAAAUAUCUACCAUCCUCAGGACUGAAAUGACACAAAAUUAGCAAUCUCAUUUACCACUUCUAGUUCUAAAGCAGAAAAACUAGAACGAGACGAGGGAGUUCACAUUCGAUACUAAAACUCCAAAAAUGAAAUGGAUUGCAAAUGCAAAUUCAGCAAAAUCCCAUGGUUUACAAUUUUGCAUUAGAAAUUGGAUAACUUUUCUUUACACUCUCGAUAUAUAAUUUCCUUUACUUCAACAAAUUUAUAUUAUACCACAUAAUAUGAAUUCAAAUUUGAAAUUUAAAUUAUGCACAUGUGACAUAUAUCUGUAGUUACUAGUGUAAAAAAAUCACUAUACUGGUAAUGCACAAAAAGUUAAUCCUUAGAAAUUAAUGUGAAAUUUUUGUAGUAUAAAGGUCAAACAUUCGCGACUAGAAUUAGAACUAUUUAAAACAUGAGGGACUAAAUCUAUAAUAUCACAAAUGCAACACAUACAGUUUUACCUCUUUCUGUCUGUGGUUCUUGGACCACAACGUGAAGCUUUGGAUCAUCAGCAUUUUUCAUCCACUCAACACAAGAAUCACACCCACAAUCAGACCACCUGGUGCCAUUCCUCAUCUGCAAGAAUGAUUCACCAUUUCUCCAUCCUUUUGGAACCAAAGAAAUCCCAAGUGACCCCAAUAAGCCCCUAAAGAAAUUUCUCCUUCGAUGAAGCGUUUCAGACAGCUCACUCUCUCCAUCAACUUCUACUUGCGCAACAUGAUGACAAUCACCUGUCUUCUCCUUUUCCUCCAUUAAUUCCAUGCAGUAACAUGAAGAAUAGGCUUUUCCUUCCAGGAAUUCAUCCAACAAUCUAUAGAAAAUGCACAUGAAAACUUCAAGAAAAUCCAGGAACAAAAAUACCAUCCAACUUAUUGCUGCUAUAAUGAUUUCUAGACCCUUUUGAAUCCAUUUUCCAGAUUGAACUAGGGUGGCCAUUCUCCUCCUCUCACUGCGUGUGAGUGCGUGUGAUAAAAGGGAGGGAAGGGGUUGAGGUUUUUGGCUUUUUGGGAGAAGGAGGGAGAGUUGGCGUACGGUCAGAGGAAAAGUAGGCGUUGAACUCCUGGAAUCAGGAAAGCAGAUUCAUGUUAGACCACGUUGCAAUGCUUAAUACUGUGAAUUUUUGGUUGGUGUCAAAAUUUACAACAUAAAUUAGAAAAAAAGAUAAAAGAGCCGUUAUGUUUGUCCUUUUUCCUUUUUCUUUUCCUUUGUGUAUCUGUUUAAAUGUUAUACAGGUGAGAUUAAAUGUUUUUGCCAACACAAGGAAAGAGUGUUCCAAAUGUCCUUUUCUAAUCUUGACAAUCAAGAAAUCAUCUUUGAAGGGAAAAAAUAAGCAUAAAUUUGUGCUGCCUUUUGAAGUAAAGGUUUACUACUGAAAUUUCAAGAAAAUACUGCAUCGUACUGGUCAUUGUAUAACUGUUUCUCUCAUCCAACUUUAUGUGGUAUAGUCUUAUACUCCAUAAACACACUAUCAUGCAUGACAAAGUAGAUAGUUGUCUUUUCCUACCAUAAUAAUUAGUUGAAUUAGAUGCUAAAGUUUAGGAAAUAGCGACAAAUAUCGAUGCAACGGUUCUCAGCACUGGAACAUACGAGUGAAUUUAGAAUAUGGAUCCCAUCUUGUUUAGCUAUAUUCAUUAAUGAAGAGAUAAAUGAAUUUCCUCUCAACCGGGUCUUUAUCAGGUGUAUGUAGUUGGAGUAGAAUAACUGGAUUGGGCAAUGUUAUUUAUAUUUGAAUUUUCAUGCAUUUCAGGUUUUAAAAUUUCUCAAUAAUGGAAUAUCCUUAAAACCAGAUUUUAGUUGGAAACAGACAUCUCAAAAAAUACCCAUAUUCGAUAACAUAAAUAAUGAAUUUCUGCUCGUCUCUUAAUUUAAGUCUGUAGAAUUCAAGCAACAUAAAGUCUUUGAAAAACAUCACUUAAAGUCCAAGAUUAAAGUCCGCACCCUCUAUAACCAGGCAGACAUCUUAUGAAAAAGGUCAUUGGACCAGCGAAGAGCCAAUUCUCUGGAAAUGUAUCUCUCAUGUAUAGUUAAAAAGAGAGAAAAUAGUGUAUCCUAUCUUAUCUUGUAUUAAUUUCCUCUUUAAUAAAAGAAAAAUGUUCGUCAUAACUUUCACAUAUAUUCUAAGUCUUAGAUCAACGUUACAACUGGAAGUACAUGCCAAUUCAAGAUUUCUAAUUUCUAAAUUCCACAUAUAUUUUGGUGUUUCCUGAGAGCAGCAACAAGCACAUAUGGGCAGAAAGGAAAACUAGCCAAUCCCAAAAGGCAAAAUUGGGUAACUAUCGGUAGAACUUGCAAUUUCCUCUUUUUGCAAGGAUCAAGCAAGCAAGCAUGCCAUAAUGAACAGGGUAAAUGCUUCAACUAAGGACGAACAGUGUGCUUAAUUUCGUUCAUUUAGUGUCAUUAUCCUUUUUUACAGGGUCCGAGCUCACAGUUGGAAGGUUUCUUCUAUAUUGAGGAGAUGUCAACCUCCUCUCUAAUGGUGUCUUCCUCUUGCUCACUACAAACCUGUUUACCCCUUUCCUCAUGGGCAUUAUUGAUGGAAAGUCUUCAUCAGGUAUCUGGCUCAGCUCAGAAAUGUCCUUUAUCUGAGCGACACGCCGAAACCAUCUUUCUGUUUUGGCCUCUUCUGACAUGUCUAAAGGAUCUGGUUCCUUCACAGCUGAUCCCUCCAAGCUUUUCCCAGUCCAGCCAGCUCUAGCAUUCUGAUUAGACAACUGUGAUGAACCUCCAGCCAAAUUCGUUGUGUGCAAUGUAUUUUCUCCUCUAGAAUAUCCGCUGCCCAGAUUUUUAUUUGUUGUUAUCUCAGAACUGCUAGAAUAUCCGCUGCCCAGAUUUUUAUUUGUUGUUAUCUCAGAACUGCGGGUAUUGGGGUUUUGACUCGAGUUCCCAACCAGAACAGCGCCCUGGUCCCCUGAGACUUUUGGACUCCAGCCUCCAGAAGUUCUUACUUGACUCCCUGUUUCUUGUACAGCAUUCUCCUCAGAAAACUUAGGUCCUACUUCUUCCAAUUUCUGAGGAGAAUUCUUCGCUAUUGUGGAACUUGAUGAAGUUUCAGUCAACGGUUUUGUCGAUGAGUUUAUCUCAUCUGAUGUUGGCGUAUCAUUUCUUGCAAAGUAUCCAGGAGGAAAUGGAACAAAGGGUACAAACUGUGGAUUGCCUGCCUGCUCUGCAGCCACCUGUCUCUUGUAUGCUGGAGAAGUUAAAGAACGAUCUUUCUUCUUGCUAACCACAAAACGAUUUUCUCCUUUACGCAUUGGCAUAAGCUCUGGGAAGUCUUCAUCUGAAAUUGCACUUGGCAAGUCUUUAACGUUGUGCAGCUCCGCCACUCUCUGAAACCAUUUUUCUGACUUUUCAGCUUGCUCUUUGUUUUGGCUAUCAUUUUGAUUUUCCGGUUUGCUAAAGAUUUUAUCGUCACCCGACUUCCUAGCAACUGCAUCACUUUGAGGACUAUCCCCUGAUGAGACAAUAUCAGAAAUGUCUACAUGUUUGCCAACUUGUGACUUCAACUUCUGAUCUUGUUCAGAAAACACGUCUCGUGAUAACGACGUAGAAGGAACAUAACUGGAAUUGCUCUGCUGACAUUGUUGGUAUUCCAUAGGAGUAGACAAAGGAAGCGAGGCAGAAGAAUUAGUUUCAAGAUUCUCUUCAGUCGCAAUACUCUGGUCAGCCAUUCUAGAAACAGGGGAUGAGUGACCAAGAAUCUGGUCCAAACUCUUCCUGAUUGAUGAGUCCAGGGCCAUGUUACCGCCAGGAGAUUGAGAAGCAUUACCUUCUGCAAUCCCAUGAUUACCCAAAAGGUUUUGACGUUGAGAGUUGGCCUGUCUUCUCUCUAAAGGAGUCUUCCUUGUGCUUACAACAAAUCUAUUUUCUCCUUUUCUAGGGGGCAUGAUUUCUGGAAAAUCUUCAUCAACAGCCACAUUGCUCAAAUCAGAGGCAUUUUCCAGCUCAGAAACCUUAUUAAACCAGCGUUUUGCCUUCUCUUCACUCUCCUCUAAUCUGAUGUCCAUGUGUCCCAACUCCGACAUGGAGUGUACGUUAUUAGCUGCAGCUAUCCUAGGUCUUUUGCAGUCGCAUCGCAAGCAUACCAAAUUCCUUCCGUAAUUAAAGAAAUUGCACCUGAAAUAGAAAAAUACAUAUUGAUGUUCUCAACGUGCACAGUGCAAUAACAUCCAUACAUUCCAGUUAUAGGAAUGAAUGCUCACUGAGGACAUUGCCAUUCCUUGCCAGUCAAUUGCUUCUUUGGCCUAGGUUCCUCGCAUUCAAGACAUUCAAAGUUUCUUGCAAAGUUCAUGAAACUGCACCUGCAAAGCAUACAGUACCAGGAUAAUAUUACCUCAUGAAGGAAUCUUAUGAUGAAUACUAGGUAAAUACGAUUAGUUUAGACAUGCAUUCAAAAUUUCAUAGAGAAAGGGUCUUGAAAAGACAAAAUACCCAUACACACAUCGAUCAGGAAACUAGCUGGAGGAAAAAAAAAAGAACUACUGAAGAAAGAAACGAAAACGUAGAGUGAAGAGAAAAUCUAGAAGUUACGGAAUAUUUUCUCCUAACAUUUACUCAGUUACACAAAAAUGAGAUAUAUCAAGGCAGUGUUCUGUCUUUGUUAGAAAGAAAAUACAAGGAAACUCAUUUCACUUCCAUUACUUUUAACAACGCUAGAUCCACAAACUAGUCAACAAAAACUAGGGUUAAAGCAGAAUAUCCAAUCACAUUAUUUAGUUCUCCACAUAGAUAAAUCACAAUUAAUGGGUCAAAGGAACAGAGUAAUCGACUAUGCAGAUAGAAGUAAAGAAAUAAGAGCAAAAUUAACUUAUUUUUACUUUGGGCAUAUCCAGUCACCCCUCUUCAUUUCAACAUUUUGUCUCAGAGGCCUUGCAGUUUGUUCAUUUCCACCAUGCAAUUGGUAUUGUUCUGAAGCAGGAACUUCAAUUGCAGGGUCUGCAAAACUCAAUUCAGUCAUCUGGGAAAGCAGAUUCCUAACAGAUGAUUCAAUUAGUUCUCUGCUGUAGAGAUUGUUCUCUUCUGAUGAAACAGAGGGAUUGCUUGCAUAACUCAAUAUAUAUUUCAUAAUGUCAACCAUGUUUGGCUUAUCAGACUCCAACACCUGAAAAGUCAUAUGCACUGAGGAUUCAACAAAUAACUCUAACAGGGGGAAAAGAGCAACAGAAUAAGGAGCAAUAUUAAUCUAACCACCAAAUGCCAAAUGAUAGCUACACUAACCAUUUAUUCCUGCAAGUAAGAAUAACUAUUCAUUGUACAGUAUACUAUUUAACUCCCGAAAACCAAAUACUCAGUUGCCUGGAAGUUUAUUCUCAGAUUGGAUUGAGUUUUUGGAAACAAAUUUUCAAGAGAUUCUUUUAACACGUUCUCGAAUCCCCUUAUAGUAAAAUUUAUCCAAAAACUCUCCCAAAAAAUACAAUCCAGCAGAGCCCUAUUGUUCAAAAAAACCAACAGAGAUUAAUCCCUACGACUUCUAUAUUAAUCCCUACCACACCGUAAGAGGAAGUUCCAAAACUCGAAAGUCCCCAUAAGGGGCAAUUCCAGUUCAAAUGCAGUUCCAUAACCGGGGCAAUGCAUGUUCAUGGUGGUGUAUAUACUUGGACCACUUACGAGAACAUUUAACCGGCUCAUAUAUUACACAUUUUCACAAGGAACAAGAGGAACUUAAACAUCAACACCAAGUUUAUCAUAUUGCACAAAUUUUAGAAUCAACUCACAUUGCUUCCUUCGAUACCCAAAUACACCCUCAUUUUCCUGGCAGUAUCAAGAGCAGAUUUAAAUAGAAAUGGUGUCCCAUUUGAUACAAUCACUUCAAUAUCCUUCCUGGACAACAACCUGCAAAUCUUGUUCUUAUCACUAAAACUGAUAAUACGAGGAAAACGAACAAUUAAAAUUUACCAAAAAUGGAAAAUGAAAUAAUAACAAACCCUAGAAGAUUGGGGUGUGCCCGGGAGAAAGCUAAGCAAAGAGAAGCACAACGAAUAAAUUCUUCGGAUAAUUCCUUCAGUUCAUAAACCACGAAGGCGUCUUCAGGGUGUACUUUCUGGUCAUCAGCUCCAGGGGAUAGCUUCUCCUGGGAGAAAAAGAGUUUAUUAAUUAAAUUGGACCACUCCGGCCACAGGUGGUUGGAGGCGGCAGAGGCAGCCUUAUAAGGCGAAAUGGAGGGGGCAUUGAGGGGUUGGGCGUGGAGCUGCCGGCUGCAGGAUUUUGUUGUGGGGAGGAGAAGGCGGCGCUGUGUGUGGCUGUAGGGAGAAGAAAGAGUGAGGCGGCGACUGGUGGUGGAGGUGGAGAGGCAGCGGGUGAUGGGACGGAGGAAAAUAAGGGAGGGUUGGUGGAGGAAAGGAGGGAACGGAGUGGUAAGAAGCAUUAUCAACCUCGAAGUGCCGCCCAUCACGGCGGAGGCUGCGGUGGUGGGGGUUUUCUUAGGUGAGUGUGUGAGGUGAGACAGCGGAAAGACUAAAGCUAAAACCCUCUAGAGGGUACUCUUUGGCCAUUAUACAGAGUCUGUACUCUGUUGCCUAGGCUAUACGGAUAUUUUUUUGUUCAGGCCAAUGACAAUGGCCUCCACUAACGUUUGCUGAUAUUGGGAUUACCUCCCAAAUAGUUGGGCAAUGAGCCCGGAUGGGCCAGAUCCUUAGGAAUGGCAAAUGGGGCUGGGUGGGGGUAAGGGAGCCCUGCCCGGCCUGCUUUCUCCGGGGAUAAUAAAAAUUUGUCCUAUAAUUAUAUUGCAACUAAAUUUUAGCCAAGAAUCAAGUAUUUUUAAAUAUCAACACAUCAUCAAAUCAUUAUUCAUUAUAAUUUCAUAAUUGAAAUUCAUAAAAACAAUCAAACAAAGUUAUUUGAAUGCAACCCAACAUGAUGAGACAAAUACAGUUAAAGUAGUCAAGUUUUCACUUUUAAGACAAAUACAAUCACCAAGUCAUUAUUGUUCUUUUUUUUUAAGAAAAACAGUAAUAUUGUGUUAAGUGUAAUUAGAAAUUUAGUAUAAAUGUAUUAAUAAAUUUAACAUAACUAAAUUAAUAAUUUUUAUUAGUAGACAUGUAUAAUUAUUAGUAUAAUUAAUUAUAUUAAUUAUAUUAUAUGUACUAUUAUACAUUAUAUAAUACUUAUAAUAUCAUUAUUAUAAGUUUGUAACUAAUUAUAUUAUUAUAUAAGUUUGUAACGAAUUAAAUUAAAUAUUAUACAUAUAAUUUUUUUUAACGAGUGCCAGGGUGAGGAAUGGGCAAAGGUAUACUCCCCCGCUUCCCACCCAACCCCACCCUUAGCUCUAUUAGUCCCUCGCAGGCACCCGUCCCAAUUGCCAUCUCUACGGAUUCCCACAAAGGUGUGUCUUCAUCAUUGCCUGAACUUUCAUUGUCUUGCAUAACGUUACUAGCAAUUUUUUGAUCUACUUAUGUAAGGUUCACCGGCAAUUUUUUGGUUCAUGAAUCAUCUUAUGUGCAUUUAUAUUUUAACUUAAAAAAUUUAGAUCCCAAAAAUUGCCGGUAACGAUUAUGGAAAACAAUAUCGAUUAAGAUAAUAAUUGUAGACAUUAUAGUAGGUUUUGUCCACCAUCAUAUUUUUUAAACUUAUCUAAAUCCUAAUCCACCAUACAAAAAGUCUAAAUGGAUGACCUUUGAAUAUUAUCCUACGAAAGUAUAUUAUACCCCAACCUCACAUCGAAAAGUUAAGAGUUGCAAGAUUAAGAUUUAAAUAAUAAUUUUAACACUCAAGUACAACUUGAAAUAUCUAUUUUACGGAUAUCUAUUAUUGGGUAGGGAGAGCAUAAACUAAAUAAUUGGACUUGGUUGUUGGCUUAGGGGAUCAAAACAUGACAUUAUGUUGGGCCAGUGCCUUGAUUGUGAGGUACCAUAAAUAUAGGCUAGAGUCCUAAUUAUUAUUAAGCUUUUAUGAUGACAAUUUGGGCUAGUGUCUGGAUUAUGAUGCAAUGUAAAUUUGGCCACUGUCCAAAUUAUUAUUAGGCUUUACUAUGAGACAAAAGUUUUAAUGGGGGGUGAAUGUAAUACUCCAAUCCUACAUCGAAUUUAGGACGAUUUGAUAACUUAAUUCAAUAUUUAAAUUUAAGGGCAAAUUCACUAGUGACCCUUAAACUAUUAUGAAAUUCAAAUUUUCAACUGACAAGCUUUAACCCUCCGAUUAGUUAAAAUGUGUAAUUCUAGUCCUUCUAUCAACUUGAGUCAUUAUGUCAACUUGAGCUAUAGGAUUCGUGAUUCCCCAAUGGGCCCCAAACUAUUAUAAAUUCAACUUUUGGCUCUUCAACUAUUAACUGAAGAGUUUUAACCAUCCAAAUAAUUAAAACAUAUAAUUCUAACUUUUUCAUCAAUGUAAGUCAUUAUGUCAAAUAAAAACACCUCCAUGUGCACAAUAGAGGGGCACAAUCGAUGGGCGUUUUCAUCUUCAUAGGACAUGCUCAUUAGAUUCAGGCAUGUCUUGCAUUAUUUUACCUUUUUGCCUUUCCAAGUGAUAGGGCCUAUCUAGAUUAUUGGGAAUUUGGAUUUACCUAUGAUGGUUUGGUCCAUUCAUAAGUCAUAGCACUCAUUUGACUGUGCUGUGAUUAAAUCAAUUUCAUUCUCAAUUAAAGUGUUGGCUUAGAGGUAUAGAUGAUUUGAUGGUUGCUUAUUUUACCUAUAUAUAGUAAAUAUUGACUCCUUUUUUAAAACAUCCACUAAAGGUGUACUAUUUUUUUUAAUCACAGGUUAAAUAUGUGUUUCUAUCUAUUUAAAAAGGAUAUUGACUCCUUUUUUAAGCAUCGAGUAGAUUGGUAUUACUUACUUCUUAUUUAUUUUCUAUAAGAAAGUGUACAAAUAUUAUUUUCAUUUCAAAUAGUAGGGAUAGAACUGUCUAAAUUGUUUUCAAAGAAAAUUUGUAGCCAUUGAACGAAGAAAUUACAAGCUUGGUUUUUUGCUUGUUUUUUCUGCAUUUUUACUUUUGUUCAUGAUGCUGUCUAUUAUUCUAUGAUUCAUUUACAUGCUUUAUGUUUUUGUUCCUUUUCUUUUUAUUAGUAUCAUUUUUGCUCUUUUCAUUCUAAUCUCUCUAUUGUCUGUUACUCUUAUUGCUAGUAAGAAGACAACUUUUCUCUUUUCCCCUCUAUUUUUUAUACUACUGUAUAACUUUAUUUGAACUUAAAGGAUCAAUAUUCUAUAUACUGAUAGUGUAAACAUUUUCACUAUUAAAUGCAUAAUACAUAAUCUGAAUUUGAAUUUGAAAUUCAAAUUUUAUGUAUGUGUCAUGCAUCCAACUGUGAUAGUGUACACACUAUCAAUAUAUAUAAAAUUACCUCUUAUUUAAAUUGUAUGAAGUUUUAACUUGUGGUUUUACCGGCUAAUUUCUCAUAGUAUACCCAAAAAAAAAGUCCGUCAAAUAUAUGUCUACAGACCCAUUGUACAAAUCUAUACCUACCGUGUCCAGUCAGCACGGUAGGGAAUUUUUUUAAUCGCUGCACCCAGAAAAUCGAGCCUGCUACUGUGCACAAUCAGCACGGUAGCAGGCAGCAUUUUAAAAAAAAGGGUGGCCUUUUCUGGGAGCAUAUGCAGGAAGGUAAUGAAAAUCCACAGGAUACUAAUGCAUCUUCCUAUAUGUUCUUUUUCGCUUUUUUUUUUUGAAUAUUAAUUGCGGCUGGUGAAUAAAUAUGUCGGUUCUUAUUUGAUCUUUUAAUAUCAUGCUGAGGAUUUUUUGUGGUUCACUCCAAGUAUGAGACUUUUUGGCCAUUAGAUUGUGCAGGCGCUAGAACAAAAUGACAAAAAUGUGAACAUCUUGGUGCAAUGUGCUCUUUUGUACGACAGCAUUGAGAAGUACAAGUUGGGAGCUGAAGACCUCAGACCUUUUUCAUUUGACCGCCUACUUGCUACCAUGCUGAUUGUGCACAGUAACAGGCUCGAUUUAAAAAAAAAUUUUCAGGCUGCCGUGCACAGUCAGCACGGUAGCCUGCAACCAUUAAAAAAAAAUUUCCUGCUGUGCUGACUGGACACGACAGGUAUAGUUUUGUACAAGAAGUCUGUCAGACAUACAUUUGACGGACCUUAUUUUUUGGGUAUAUUCUGAGAAAUUAACCAAUUUUACCUUUGUCAUUUAGGUUGUUGUUUGUUGUUUUGAUAGUUAUUUGUUGCAGUUGGCUCUCUUUUUCUAGGUUAGUUUCCGUCUAUCUAAUCUAUAACUUUUUACCAUCUACAUGCUUUAUUUACAUUAUAUAUAAUGGAGAAUCUAUGGUUUCAAUUUGGAGAAUUUUUAGUUGUACGUGAUGUUCUCUAUGUGUUUGAUCAUUGGUUUAAUCUUUUCAUAUGUAAUGCAAAUAAUUUUUAAUGUACGCUUGUAACUAUGUAUAGAUGUAGUUUAGAUUAUUUGCGUGCUUUUAAACAUAUACUUUGUCAACUAUUAAAAAGUUGACAUGGAGGAUCCAAUGAGAAUUAGUCAUAUCAAAGAGAUAGGGAGAGAUAUGCAAGCAUGUUUACUGAGAAAAAAAAAACUGAUGUUAGUAAGAAGGACAAAAGCCUAUCAUAAGAAAAAAAAUCAAGGUUGAUCACAACCACCAUUGAUAUUUUUUUUUUUGGAAAGCAAUGUGGUAUUAACAGAGGUAUUCUAAUUUUAUCAAUGAUUUAUCAGCCUAUGCUCAAUGAAGAAAAACUCAAAAAACAAUUUCUAAAUUCUCUAUUUAUGAAAAGGUUUAAGGAUUUGCAAGUUUUCCUUUUCUACUCUUUCUUUGGAUAUGAUUUUUCUAUUUGUCUACUUAUUAGAAUGGUUAUGUUUUUCUGUAGGUUAUUCUUUGAAGACCAACUGUGUUAACCAUUAUAACCAGUAAGAUAAGCCUCUGAAUCCUAGUUUUAGUGAGAUAAAUAUAUUAAGAUGUUUUAGGCUAUACUUAUUUUUCACAGCCAUGUCUUUAUGAUUCACUAAUUACCCUUUUCAUAUAAAUCAACUUCCAAUCUAUGUUUAGUGCUAAAAAUUUCUUAUCAAGAGUUUGGAAGAUGUGGCAGGUUUAAGUUAAAACACAAAUUUUAAUUAAUUUGAUACCAUAUUAUUAUUCAAUUUUUAGAACAAACAAGAUGACCACGUUAUACUUUUUCAACUAGAUUAUUAUUAUGAAUUUUCAAAUAGCCUGAAUCGUGCUCUCUUUCUUAGGCAUCUAAAACAAGAAGAGGGUACACAAAUUUAAUUUACAUGAACCCAUUUUCGUUUUAAAAGAAAUUACAAAAAAGUAGAAUAUGCUCACUAUUAAUUAUCAACCACAUGUGUCAACUAAAAGUUCUUCACACCGAUGGUAUAACAAAAGACCCAAUUGAGAACAUUUAAAGAAACAAGAUGAUCUUUGAAUAUUUUCUUCUAUACAGUUCAAAAUAUAUAGAAUAACAAGUAGGGUAAUUAUCUCUUUCGUUAUGCAACAUUCUUGUUAGGUGCGUGUAUAAAAAAAAUCCCUAAAUUUAUUUUCAUGUAUAAGUGAACAAGAAGAUUGCAGCAUAAGUUUUGUUGUCUGAAACAAAAGACAAAAAACUUGUAUGAAUAUCAAACACAUUAAAUUAGAAAACAAAAGGGCAAUCUGUGAAAAUUUUUGAAUCAAUGAAAUUAAUUGCCUAAUUCUUCUUUUCAAAUGACUUCAAUCGAAGGGUCAAAAAGACUUGUUCUCUGAUCAAAGGGAUGCUUGAUGAUGGUAUUGAAUACUUAAACCUUCAAUCUGUCAACACGAAGGGAAGGAGGAUUUGUUUGACUUGAUUUGGAUUUGAAAAAAAAAAAUAUCUUGAGAGUAUUUGACAGAGUUUCUUCGAAAUUUAGGAAUUUCAAUGUAUCUUUGCUUUGAAGAAAUACCUCUAUUUAUAUCCAAAAUAUGUAUGUUAGAUGUUCAAGAAAAUCCUCCAGAAUCUUCUUGCAUUUGGGUGACUUGUAACUCAAGAAACCCAUUUAAUUUGAAAUUUUAUAGUAGGUCAGUCCAAAUAGUCCAUUGUGAAUUAAUAAAUCAAUUAACCUACUUCAGUUUAAAUGGACAUUAUGAAUUUGAUUUGAUUUAAUAACCCAUAUAAUAUUGACCCAAUUCGCUAGCCUAAAACAUAAUGGACUUCCAUAAUUUAAUUUAAUUUAAUCAAGAUCAAUUCAAUUUAUUUAAUCUUGACUAAAUAAAUUAAAUAAAAUUUCUUUGUUUACAAAGAUGAACUACCAAAAAUACCAAACUAUCAUUUUUGUCAUGCUAAGAAAUUCCAUUGAGUAUCCAACUUUUGCUAUUCUGACGGAGAGGUUUUGCCAAAAGAAAAUUAAUUACUUUAUAUAUUGGUUCAGUUAUAUAUUGGGAAUACUAAGAAAUCUAUCUCUUUUCAAAUGUAUGUGUGGAUAUACAAUAGCUUAUUUGCUUUUACCUCUUUUGAUUUUGCAUAUGAUAAGAAUCUAUGCAAAAGAAACAAAGGAAUAUAUACUUUCGAAGUUCAGGGUUAGACAUAAUCAUUUUAUUAAUGAAUUAAUCUCCUAUAGAAACAAUAGAUUAUAUCUCAGCUAUAUUCCCAAGAUACUGAACAAGAACUAUAAAAUAGAAUGGUUUUUCUCAAACAAAUUGGCUGAAUCGAUUGUUUUGAAGUUGAUAAAAGUGAUGGAAGAUAAUUCAUACAUCAUUUUUUUACAAAAGCUUGAGGAUUUUUUUUUUUUAAUUUUAACUUCUGCUAGAUUGUGUUAAGAACUAAUUGUUCGAGUGAUCAAAGAUUAUUCAUUAAAUCAACUCACAAAUUGUAAUUCUAUGGAUCAAAAGGGAUAAUAUUCAGCAAGGCUACUCAAAGUUUAUCCUAAGCAGGGUCAUAGCAAGCGCUUUUAGUAUUAUUAUAGCUGCUAUAAUUCAUUCUAGUAUCCAUUAUUGUGUGCAUUCAGCAAAAUUGGCUAGCGUAUUGGAACUAGAAGAUCUAAAAAAGGAAAUCCAAAAAGAAAAAAAAAAGAAAUUCAGUAAACAACUGCAUUAGUGUACAUCUCAGAAAACUAAAAUCAUCUCAGCAGAUUAUUGACAAUGUUCAACAAGGUAUUUUUUUGGGCCACCUACUUUGAAGAUGUAUUUAGUUGAUACUCCAUUAUGUAUAAUAGGUUGGUUAUUAUGGCAUUUUAUUUUAUUUAUUAAUCUACUCCCUCCGUCCCACUUUGAUAGUCCUGUAUUCCUUUUUCAUCUGUCCCAAAUUGUAGUCCACUUUCCAAUUGAAGAAUGUAGUUGUAUUUUAAUUUUCCUAAAAUACCCUUAUUCAAUGUAAGUAGUUGUUACUAUAAACCUACCCCAUUUAAUGAGAGUUGAUUCUUUUUUUACCAUCAAUUCAAGUUCCCAUAAAGUUGUACCAUAUUUAAUGUGAGGGUAUUUUAGGAAAAUAGUAAUCUAAAUUUACUUUUCCAACAAAGUUAACUACUUUUUCUUAAACUGUGUGAAAAAAGAAACAGGACUAUCAAAGUGGGACGGAGGAAGUACUAUUUUCCCUUGCAGUUAUACACUAAUCAAAGCAUUCAAAAAAAUUCAUUUUUAUAUGGGAAUACUAAAUGUGCCUUGAUAAUAUGCUACACGUGCUUAAUACGAGUCGAGAAUUUUUAUAAUAUGCGAUUGACAUGUAUGUAAAAAUUGAGAGAUAGAGAUUAUAAUUUUUUGGAAGUAAUUGAAAAAUGAUUGGGACCGAAUAUUUAUGGGAUAUAAUGGACCGUGUUGUUCAAGGUAAAUAUAGAGAUUCAUAGGUUGACCAAAGAGUCGUGCUUCCUAUAAUAUUCAUCGAAGGACCUUGUGACAUGAAAAGAAGAUACAUUGAUGUUAUGGCCUUGGUAUAAAGAUUUGGAAAACCAAAUCAUUCUUUAACAAUGACAUGUAAUAGCUCAUGUAAAGAAAUAAAAGAGAAUUUUUUUCCAAAUGAUUUGAUAGUUAAUAGAUAUGAUUUACAUGCUUGAUUCUUUCAUGCAAAACUCAAUGCUUUGAAAGAUGAAUUGUUAAAAAAAAAAGUUUUUUGGAGAAAUAGCUAUCUACUCAUAUGUCGUUGAUUUCAGAAAUGAAGCCUCCCACACGCAUAUUGUCAGAUCAUAUUAAAGCCAAAUUCAAUAUUGUCCUCUAUAGAUUCAUAUGAUCAGAUUGUAUCUGCUGAGUUACUAGAAAAAGACAAAUACUCUCAUUUGAACACAGUGAUUUGAAUGCACAUGAUGCAUGGCCCUUGUGGUGAUAAGAAGUCUGAUAAUGUAUGCAUGCGAAUGAAAAAUGUAAGAAUAAGUACCCAAAGAAAUUUACGUAAGAAGCAACUCAUAUAAUAAAUGGUUAUCUAAGAUAUACGAGAAGAAAUGAUGGCAAGUAUAUGGUCAUUCGUGGUAGUAAAUUAGAUAACAGAUAGGUUAUUUCAGUGAUGCCUAUUUGUUAGCUAAACUCAAUUGCCAUAUAAAUGUGAAAAUAUGGUCGACCAUAAAGGUUGUCAAAUAUUUGUUUAAGUACAUGUAUGGAGGAUAUUAUAGAAUCAAUUUUAACUGAGUUUAGAUGACACUUCCAUAGGUGUAGACAAAAUAAAAUAGUUUGAGUCAGUGAGAUGGAUAUAACAGUUAAAGUAAUAUGGAGAAUAUACAGAUUCUCACUAUAUAAAAUGAACCUAUCUAUCAUCCAACUACUGCUUCAUCUUAAAAACUUUCAAUUUUUAAUAAGAAUGCUAAUUUGAAAAAUAUUUUUAAAAAUGGGGCUAAAAAGGGCAUGAUGCUUUUAGAAUUCUUUCAAAUGAAUGCCAUUGAUAAUGAAGUUAAGGAUAUAAAUUAUCUUUACAGAGAACUUCUAGAACAUUAUGUUUGGAUUGCAAAACAUCGAAUAUGGAAAAAGAGAAUCCAAAAAGAUGGUAUAGGCAGAAUAGUCUCAACAAAUUUGAGUGAAGGCAAAAAAUACUUUUUGCAAUUAUUACUUCAUAAUGUAAGAGUUCUCAAGUCUUUUGAUAAUCUCAAAACAAUUAAUAUUAUUUAUGCUAGGGCAUUUCGUAAAAUAGUAAUGCUCAGAUGAUUAUUUGAGACUAAUAAUCUACAAGAAAAAUGUCUUGAAUAAGCAUCUAUUUAUGGUAUCUCACAUGGCUUGCUUAAACUAUUUAUUAUACUAUUGGUUUUUUUUUUAAUCAGUCAAUGCAAAAUAAUUAUGGUAAAAAUUUAAAUCUUCUUUGUCUAAAGAUUUUCAAAGAAUUGUGGGAUUAUCAAUGAACAAGUGAGAUGCAAAGUUUUGCGGCAUAUCAAUAAUAUUAUGGAGUCUACAAAAAAAUAUAUAUAUAUCCCUUCGUCCCAAAAAGUUUAUUGCUUUUCGAAAAUGCAACUUUUUAUUGAUAUUUAGGAGAUAUGACCUUUGUUUCCAAAAAUAUCCCUACCUAAUUGGCCCACGUUAAAAGCAUAUUUCUAUUAUGUUGCCAAAAUGAUAUUAACAAAAAUAUUUGGGCUCGCACUAACAAUUUAGGGUUUUAGCUUUGUUAUUGUUGGAUAUGAUACGUGCUGUGUUUCCCAUGCUCCAAUACUUGCAUGUAAUAUGCUUACAAUGAUUAUUCUUGGGUCCAUUUUACAGGAAGAGUAUAAGUUGGAAACAAGUGAAAAAUUACAUUACUAAUUAUGGUAAGUGACAUUCAUUUUGGAAGAAAUCAAAUAGAAAACAAAACAGUUUCAAUGGCACGAAGGGAGUAACAGUUUUGGAGAGAAUAAAAUUCUAGCACUUUGUCUAUUGCAUCUAUAUACUAGAAUGCUAAAAUGCAUAUUGCUACCUUUGUUUAGCAGAACAUAUUCCAUGAAUCAUUUGAGCACUCAAGCUAUGAAGUAUGUUUGCUAUUAAAAAUGCAUGAAAUAUAGUCUUUAAAUUUCUACUAUCCAUUUCAGCAAUAUGCACUAUAAGAUCUAUAUAAGUCUAUUCUAAUUAUCUAUGAUUUAUGGAGUAUUUUUAUUACCUUAUAUUUCUUCUCAUAAUUAUUACAAUCAGUUGUCUAUAUAGCUCUUAUAAGAAUAGUUAAAACUGUAUCUUAUGCUAUUCCUUUUCAUAGCCUGCAACUAAACUAAAAAUAAAGAAAAUAUUACUCCAAUAUCUCAUGUACAUAUCUAUUAUAUCAGUCAAAUAAGAUUUGAACAACUAAAUUUGAGAACAAGUACAUAUAUCUCAUUAUAUCUUUCUCAACAAAAUCAAGAUGAUACAUUUUUGUUGUACACUUUAUCACUGUUUGAUAAAAUUGAAUCCAUCUUUAACCAUUAGAUCUUACCAAAUCUCUGCAGCAAAGACAUAAAUUUUCUACAAAAAAAAAAUCUUUUAUCUAUUUUUUGGACAAGUCAACCAUUAAAGGAACUUCUUAGAAGGAAAAAGUUAAGAACAAUAACACGUAUCUUCUAUUACCUACUAUUUUUUUUCUUCUUUUAUGUCAAUAAAAUGUCGUUCUAUAUUGUCGCGUUAACUUCCCAACUUCAAAUACAUGCCUUUCUUCAAUAAGAAGUUUCACAUGAGCAAACCUAUGCAAAAUAGUCAACAAAAAAAAAAGCAAAUAGCUAAGAACGCUACUAGGUAUUCUAUUAUUCAUACUAGAAAAAAUAAACUUUCAUACCAUAAUUAACAAAAUACACACACACAUACAUACAUACACAUAUAUAUAUAUAUAACAGAAAAUUGUAAGAAAAAUGCAUAAAAAACUAGUAGUUCCAUUAUUUUAGAUAAUAAAUUUUGUUCGCAUCAAAUUAGAUGCAUUUAUUACAUCUAGGCUUGUCAAUGGGUUAGAUCUUACCUAUAUCCAAUUUAGACCAAAUAUAUUUGAGUAGGUUUGGAUUUAAUUUUUCAAACCCUGAUUCUACCUAAAUCCAGACCCUAUAAGAGAGUCAUGGAUUUAGAGGUUAUGAUUUAUAUACAAAUUUAGAUCCAUACUAACCCUAUCUAGGCCCAUGUAUAUAUAAUAAUAUAUAUGUAUAUGUAUGUAUAUAUAUUAGUAAAUUUAUAAGAUAAUCUAAUAUUCUAUGGCCAUUGUAUCGAAUACAGUAAGACUUCAUAAUUGUUUUUUUUUUUUUCAAACUAACUCUAGUUAUCAUUAUAAGUGGUACAAACUUUUUCAGGAAAAGGAUAAAAAGUAAGGGCAAACGAAUGAAAGAUUGAGCGUGAAUACAGUUGAAAUUUUGAAAUAAAUAGUAGUCUUCUUUUGAGUUCAUAAUAUUAAUUCAACUUCUUGAAUACUGAUUUUAUAUUUGAAAAUAAAAAUUGGAUGGUAUUUAAAUUAUUUUUUAAAUCUAUAUAUUUUUAAUAUAUUUUUACUUUAGUAUGCUCGGAAAAAUAUAAUGGAUACUUAUUAGAUACCUAGAUCCAUGAAAGUCUGAGUUUGGACCUACUUUUUCAUACCCAUAAAGGUGUGGGUCUGGAUUUGAAUUUAACUAAAUUUAAUAGGUCUGGAUCUGAAUCAAAGGUAUCCAAUCCAAACCCUAUCCAUUGAUAUACUUAUUUCAUUACUAUCAAUAUAGUAUGCGUAUUCUUUUAAUUUUUAUAAGUCAACUAAAUGACCAUAUUUACUAAAUAUAAACAAGACUUUCAGGUCUCUAUAUGCUGAAAUCGAAUUACAAAACACUUAUUUAGUUUCUAUUUCAACAUUCUCAUAAACUUUAAUAACUAAAAUUUUUAUUAUGAAAUAUUCAUACACUAUUAGCACAAGGUCAUAUAAAAAAUCAAACAUGCUAUUUUGAUAUGAUUUGAGAAAAAAUCUAACAUAUAUUGUCAUUAUGAAUUGAAAUAUCAUUUCUCUUCAAUAAACAUGGCAGCCAAAAAUUAGCCAAAAGUCAUACAAGUUCAAUCUCAAAGUUCCUUGACAUUAAUGCUUUCAACAAUAACCGAUCAUAGUUUCAUAGAGAAAUCUUAUGCAUAAUGAUAGCAUUAGAUUUUCUGACACAUAUAUUAUUCUAAUUGCUAUAUCUUUAAAUUUAUAUCACAAGGCAAUAACACUAUCAUUUUUUGGCUACUCCCUCUUACCAUGUAGGAUCUUUCUUCUGCCUAUAUAUAUAUAUAUAUAUAUAUAUAUAUAUAUUCAAGAUAUCUGUCUCAUUUUGUAUGACUCUUCCUCAGUCUCCACAACUCUUCCUUCUAAGUUUAUUACAAAAAAAAAGGGUUUCUCUCAAUCUAUUCUUCACAAUAAUAUCUUGAAUCUUGGUUUCUUUAUUAGCUUCAUAUUUUUUUUAUUAAUAUCUUAACAAAUACCAAUGACAACCAGAAAUUUUGACUUAACUAAUAUCAAUUGUUGUUACAAUUUUUCAAGUAAUAGAAGUGACAUAUCCUAACACAAAUUAGAGAACCAAAUGGAAGAAGAUAUUGUAGGUACAUACUAAAUAAUUUAGAGGUAAAAUUUCAAACAGAAACAACUCUGUUCUUUCGUAUCUUCUAUAUGUGAUAUGCUUGUAUUCAUGAAAUUAGACUUGAACAAAUAAGCUUAUACAGGAAGUUAAAAUGCAAGCACUCGUCUUUGGAAAUGAUAUUCCACGUGUGGAUGGUCUCUUGCUACCAUUUAAGAAGUACUAUCACAAAUGCAAUAUGUCGUGUGAACCAUCAAGUAUCUAUAGCAGGAUACUAACCUUACGACUGGAUUCUCACCAACACAACUCACAAUCAAGAAAUCAAUGAGUUUAUGGAUUCAACCAUUCCACCUCAUUUUCCUUAGGACGAUAGCUUUUCUCAUAUGCAAAUUUGUGUAGAUACUGAAAGAUAUAUAAGUAUUCUAACUAUAAUUUAUUUAUUAAAUACAAUAUUACCUUAACUAUCAACUCAGCCUAACAUCCUUUUAUCAUAGUCAUACUAGGGAUAAUCAUUUUCUCUUUGCUGGUUAGAGAUAUACAAGUUCAACAACAGAGAAUCCUAGCGAAGAGUAUGACAUCAUCAACAAAAAAUAACUAAAAUUAGAUUAGAAAACUUAGCAUUUCACUCAAGCACGUGUUUAUCCACUAUUAACUAUAAUAUUUUCUAAUUUAUUAGGAAAAAAUCAGUUCUUCUCAUACUAUACAACGAAUUUAGAUGAGUGAGGAGGCACUCAUUACAACAAAUGAAGAGCCAUCAAUCGUCUUAGUUGUUAGGUUGAAAGCUAGCACUAAAAUUGUGAGAAUUUUAAUAUCUGUUCUUAACUGUAAAAUAUAAAUUUGAUAAAAAAAAAAAGAUUCAGUAUUAACGAUUGUUUCUUGCUUAGAUCUCUCUUUGGCAACAUAAAUAUUUUCCAUUAUUAUGGUUAAUCCCCGUAUCAGUAAGGUAAUGGAGUUUAAUCACUAGUAUAUAUGCAAAACUACUUAUCUUUGACGUUAAAAUCAUAAAAAAUACAACACUUAUAAUUAAUAACCUAUACAAUUAAAUAUUUGCAAAUUUCACAAUAAUAUAACAGAGUUGGUUACAUUGUCAAUCCAUGAGCUCUCCUUCCAUUAGUCAAUGGCAAUGCAAUAACCCAAAUUCGAAGAGCUAUUGAACUUGUAGGAUUUGUAAGAAUUUCACAAUUUAAAAUUAUAAUAAACCCUUGACUAUGAUUCUAUAAAUAAUAAUUUUAUACUCAUUAUCCUCAUAUUAACAGAAGAAAACAACUUGGAUUAAAGAAAUAGUUCAAAUUAACUAUCCAUAGAUAUAAUUUUGGUAUUCAACUUGUCCUAAUUGCUAUGAAACUAAUGACUUUAUAAGAAUUUGGGAAUAACAUGCCAAUCAUGCCAAAUCGAAAUAAUCUCAUACCAAGGUAAUUAAACAUGCAUGUAAUAAAAUACUACCUCUAUCUUGAAAUGCUUAUUGCUUUUUGAGAUUCCCACUUUUUAAAAAUAGUGGAUUGAUAGUUAUGUUAGUGGAUUUAUUUCCAAAAUUACUCUAAAAAAUUUAAAUUUUAAAUUUGAAUUUAGUAGGGAAUAUAGAUAAAGGUGGGAAUAAGAUUGGGAAAGAGAUAACAAUAAUUUUGGCUUUAGUAAGAUGACAAACAUUUUGGGACAUCCCAAAAUAAAGAAUAUGAAACUUUCAAUAGGAUAAAAAGAGUACCAGAUAUAGCUUAAAUAUUAGAUUUUACUGCUUUAGAAUAUUUUCCAUCAUAAAAAUUGAUUCAUUAAGUUCAACUUCCAGAGCAUGUAUUGCUAUGAAGAUAACUGAUAUAACUGGUAAUCUAAAUAUCAUGACUUUGGGAGAAGAAGUUGAAAGAUUGAUAUCUAUUACUGCCAUCCAAUUCCGACAAGCUAAUAAUGAGGUAUAAUGUGCCAAACAAAUAGAAAGAGCCUUUCAUUAUUUUCAUCUCCUAAUACGUUUUUAUCUUUAUUACUAUAGGGAAGUCCCAUGCAAAACGUGGGGAUCGAUACCUAUGAUGUAGUUAAAUAACUUGGAAGUGUUGGAGAGUUUGAUAUCAAGUGGAACACACUUAUAUGUUCCUUAAGUUUUCUAUUGUCAUAAUUUGCAUCACAUUUUUUUGGUGCUUGGCUGGAACCUUUUUCUUGAGUAAUGACCAAAGGUUGUUGGUAUGAUCCCUUACUUUCCUUUCAAUGUCUAAUACAAAUAGAAACUCAUGGUGUUAUCAUAUGUAUCAUUUUCCCCUAUAUUUAAUCUUUCAAAUAAAGUCGGGUUGUUCCUUUCAAAUAAAGUAGGAUUGUUCAAUCAGGAAUACUCACCAUUGUUUUGUUCAGUAGUUUCAAUAGAGCGAACAUGUAUUUUCUGUGCUUUAUGCUUAUUUCCCAUUGUUUUUUUCAUACUUUAUUUUUUUCUUCUAUUGUUAACAAUGUAUAUCUUUGUCUUGCCUUUUGAUAUCAAAGUUGCUUCUUAGCAUUAAAAUUAUAGAUAUUGUUUGUUUGAUCCAUCCUAAAUUUCAACCUACAGGCCUUAAACUUAAACAUAUAAAAUUUAUAUAUACCAUUUGUUUGCUUAACUACUACAACUAAAAACCACUAUUUUGAUUAAUACAUGCAUCUACAAAUAAUUAGAGAGGAAAUUAAUUUUCCUCAUUACAACACUAACUUGCAUCAAACAAUUAUCAGGUAUACGAAAUUCAGUACAAAAAAAAUAGAGCAUGUAAAUACAGCCACUUAUCUAUUCAAAUAGCAAUUUCUAUUCACACACAAUAUCUCAAUCACUUAACUAUCAAACCAAUAAAUUGCAUAAUUGCAAUAUAAUUUUCAAAGUGAAAUAAUCAUUCACACACUUGUUCAUUCGAGCACACAAUUCAAGUAGAUCAAGUACAAUUGUAAUCACAUUUAAUUAACAAAUGACAUGGAUCAAGUGGAAAUGUGGAGUUACCCUAUACCUUUAGCAAAAAAGUGCAAUCUAAGAGCAAAAUCUCUCCACACUUCACCUGCCUGCAAUAGCAAGCAUAAAGGUUUAUUCACGAUUUUGAUUGUCAAAUGGAAGCUACACAACCUAUAGACUAGAAGCAAGAGCAAACUUGAGCGUACCUCUACAAACCCAACUCUGAUACUGUGCAACAGAAUCAUCUAAAUCCAUAAUUUGUAUCUUAACAAAAGCCAUUAUUAUAACGUACUUUACAAAUUGAUGAAAAAAUGUUGAAGAAUAUGGGAGGUCCUACAAUUACUCUUGUAACAUUCACCCCAAAUGAUUUUUCACCUCUCACACUUUAAUGGCCUUAUCAACGCUGCAUUUACUAUUGUAAGAGCUGAAUUAAUGGUUCUUGAUCUUUAAAGAUGAAGAAGACAGAGCUUUUUGCCGUUACAAUUCAAGCAUUCAUCUUUAACUUUAGUGCACUAAUAUUGUCUAAUGCAUUUCAUUUGUGCAAUCAAUUCAGCUAAACAUACUCGAGGGGAGUUCAUUUUGCUUUUCUAACCACUUUGCUAAAUCAAUGACAAAGCAGCCAAAUCAUUAGCCCCCAAAGGGUACAGUAGGUAUACCAUGCGAAAUUAGGCUGCAUAAACUCAUGCAUUUUGCUUAAUAAAUGCUAUACAGUUUUAUCAUUUCCAAAAUGCCCCUACAAAUUUCAGAUGAAAAUCACCCAAGAAUCAUACAACUCCUUUAUGUAUAUAUAUAUAUAUAUAUAUAGGAAAUGAAGUCCGCGCGAUACGCGGGAUUUGGGUGCCUGUGUAUAUACAGGAUACUAAAAGAAUUAGAUACGGAGUCAAAUUAUUUUAGAUUAAAUUAAAUUGUUUCUUUAAUCAUAUGAUUGAGAAUGAGACUAAAUUGACGAAACAAGUGUAUGUAAUACUAAACAGUUUCCUUCAAAGGGAAAAAAAAACUAAACAGCCCCGACGCCAACACCAAUUUUCAAGACAUCUGUCAACAAUUUUUCAUUGAAAAACUGCUCUGCAGACAAGGGCCAUGCAACCAUUGGCACACCACAACAUACGCCCUCUAGAGUUGAAUUCCAUCCACAGUGAGUCACGAAUGCUCCCACAACUGCAUGCUCAAUAACGGUAGAAUUUGAAGCAAAAGGCAUUCAAAGAGAUGCAACUGGAACUAAUGCCCAGACAUGAAACUGUCAUUAACUUCUUCCACUAAUGUUUUGGCAAACCAUGUUCUCCAAACCUUAAUUGAAAACUAAGAGAGGUUCAAGUAAUUACAACAACACAAAGGCUAUUAGCACUUGUACCAAUUGCUUGAAAGGUCACUACAACAAAAUUACAUUCCCAAAAUACCCAUCCCUAAUUAAUUCUAGACACUAAUUAUCAAUAAAUCACCCUCUCUUGAGUUUAAUUACUAACUAAGAACGUUUACAUAAAUUCAGUGAAACAAAUGCUGUUAUCACUUGUACCCACUGCUAAAAAUACAAUUAAAAUAAUGGUACAAUCCUACAAUACCCUUUUCUUUUGCAAACAACACUUUAUGGGCAUUCACCACACAGAAGACCAUAUAUGCCAAAGCUAAAAACAAAAGCUGUAUCAACAAUUGUACUCUAUGCUAUAACAACACUCCAAAUAAUCUCAUAACCCCAAAAUGCCCCUACCCUUGCGGUUGAAAUCCAAAAGUUAUCUUUGCCUUAGACUCAUUCUUAUAUAGUAUAAGGAUAUAUAUAUAUAUAUAGGAAACAGGCUAUGGAUGUGCUCCAUUAUAUAACAUGAGCUCUCGAGGGCAAACACAUGUUGUGCUAUAUAAAGAAGACCACUCUACACAUGAGACCAAUGAAGGAAACAACUUAUACCAAACAUUAAAUGCCCUUCUUUUGAGGAAACAACAGUUAUCCUACAAGCUUUAAAUGCCCUUUUUAUUAGCUAAAAAUCCUUGAAACUUAUAACUCUAACCAAAAUGCACUCCAUUCAAACUUUUGUACAUUAAUAUCAUAUUUUAUCAUCCACUAUGAAAAUGUAAUACUUAUUAGCUACUCCCUCCCUUUUUUUAUAACAGACGUUUAAGGUUUUGCACACCAAUUAAGAAAAGUUUUUCAUUGUUUAAAUCUGUACACUACUUUCCUUUUGUACCCUCAUUAAUUGUCCAAUUCACCCAUGUUUUCUCUCACUAGAGUACUAAAUGGUGCUGUUUUACUAGGUCAAAAGUAGUAAUUAAGAACCCUGUAUUGGAAAAGAGAGAUAAAAGGGUAAAAUUGUGAAAAAAUAAUUAAUAUUGUAUGGGGAUAAUAAAACGACAGAUAAAAGUACACUAGAGCAAAUUUCUUAAACGUCAGUUAUAAAAAAAGGGAGGGAGUAUUAAACUUCACUAGAUAUCUUAAAAGUGAUUAGAGAGUUGUCAUGUUUUUUUGUCCACCAUAUAUCUCGAAACUUGAGCAUCUAGUUAAAGAUGCACAUGCAUAAGAUCAAUAGUUUGUUCAACUAAUGUAUGCAUAUACAUGCCAACCUAAAUUUCUAAUAUUCAUAGUGCAAGCUAUAGACUUUUCACUACAUUUAACUUAUUCAAUUAUAGUUUUCUUCAUCCUCUUGCUAUUUGAACUAUAGCAGAGACUAUAUUCACCCUUGCAAAUACAAAACAACUAUGAAUACAAAGAUAACAAAUAUUUUCUAAAUAAUGACUAAUGCCAUUGCCUAAUCUAAUGAUGAAAUUAAAAGAACAAAAUAAGAACCAUAUUGGUAAGCAACGGAUCUUUUGUCCCACUUCUUAUUAAAUUGCUAUUUCUUCUUUAUAAAUAUUAUAUUUUAGCUCUUUUUUGUUUCUAUAAGAUCCAUUUACUAUUAACUAAGUAAAAAAAUAAAUACAACGGUCUCAAGAAAUUAAUACAUGAUAGAAAAUUAAAAAAUAUAGCAAAAAAUUCAUAAAAAACCUCAUUUUUUUAUGCAUUUUGAUUUUUGAGUUUGUUAAAAUUUGUGUAUUACUCAAUUAAUAGUUAUUGGAUUUUAAGAAAAAAAAAAGAACUAAAUUAUGAUGUUUAUGAAGGAAAAAUAGUAAUACAAUAAAAAGUGGACAGAGAGUAGCACAUGAAGUAGGACAGAAGAUUCAUUACGAUAUUGGUAUCUAUAACAUAUCUUCCACAAUAAUGACAAUUCUAUCAUCUUUAAUCUUUCUCUCCUUAGACACAGUUAUUAGAAUCUCCCUAUCAGAUUAGGCCUCCAUUUUUUGUGUUUUAACAUUAUUGAGUAUCCCAUAGUAAGAUUCUACUAGUCCAAACACUACAUACUCCAUAAACAAGAAUCAUGACCAAUAAAAUCCAAACUCCAAAUGCUUUAAAUUGUACUUUUAGUAGAAGACUAAACCAAUACUACAUAAAGUAAGUCACCUUGCUUAAAAUCUUUUUCUUAUGUACUAUCUGAAACUCUUUUUGGCAUAUAAUAUCCCCUUUCAAUAUAUAAUAUCUGCAAUGCAUCCUUACUACCAUCUUAUAUUUAUUAUUUUACCAAUAUUUUCUAAUUAUCUAAUACAACAACUACUAAUCAAUAUAGCACAAAAUAAAACGAAAAAGAGAACAGGUACCCAAGCCCCGUGCAAGACCAAGUAGUCUAAAGCACAAGUUCUAGAAACAUUAAUGGACUUGUCAAAUGUGUUAUGAAAUAAUUAAAUAUUGUGGAUGUAUAUCACAUUUAUCUCAUCUCCUAAAUAGUGACAAGUUUUUCAUAUUCUUCAAGGUGAUACAGCUAUCAUGACUUUUGAGGUGAUAGAGAUUGCACGACUUUCAAUAAAGCUAUUACGACUUUUGAUAAAGCUGCAAAAUUGUCGAUAAAACUAUCACGUCUUACGAGAAAAUUGUAUCACCAUCUUGAAGUAAGUUAUUUGCUAUACUUUUCUCUAUAAACAGGGGUUAUCCUUCUUUGUAUCAAAGUGAUAGAAAACCGAAGUUUCAUUUGAGUGAAUGGAAGAAUAGUUCUUACUUACUUUUCCCUUUUCCUGACCUCUUUAAUUUUCUUAUUUUCUUAACAUAUUAUCCACCACAUAAAAAACUCAAAUCCUAUAUUGUAUUAGCAUUAAUUUUAUAAUACAUUAUCAGUAUGAGACUUUGUCGAAAAUAGACAUUUUUUUGGGUAAUUCUUAUGGUAAAUUUCGAGAUAAUAUUUCUCACCUUUAACUCUUCAUUUUUAUUAUGGCUAACCUUACAAAGCAAGAGUUUGUCCCUCUUGAUAUUUCUGGAAGAAAUUACUUAUUAUAGACAAUGGAUGUGAAGAUUCAUCUUGAAUCCAUGGGUCUUAAAAAAAUCAUUGCCAAAGAUAAUGAUGCAACAAGGCAAGGCUAUGCAAAAGUUAUGAUAUUCCUCCGUCAUCAUCUUGAUGAAGGAUUAAAAACGAAACAUCUUACGAUCAAGAAUCCACUUGAUCUUUGGAAUAAUUUAAAAGAAAGGUUGAACCACUUGAAGUUGGUUAUCCUUUCAAAAGCCAGAUAUGAUUGGCUUCAUCUACGGUUGCAAGAUUUCAAAACCAUUAGUAAAUAUAAUUCGGCCAUGUUCAAAAUCACCUCUUAGUUAAAGUUAUAUGGUAAAAAUGUAACUGAUGAGGAUAUGUUGAAAAAAAAUAUUUUUCACCUUUCAUGUCUUGAAUGUGCUCCUACAACACCAAUAUUGAGAGAAAAGAUUUAAAAGAUAUGUUGAACUUAUUAUAUGUCUUUUGCUGGCUGAACAAAAUAACAAAUUAUUAUUGAAAAUCAUGAGUUCUGACCAAUUGGUGCUAGUCCAUUUUUUAAAGUAAAUGUGACUCAAUCUUCGAAUUAUAGACAUAACAAUGGUCGUGGAAGAGACCGUGGAUGUAGCCACAAUCAUGGACGUGAUCAUAAUAAAUAUGUGUCUUGCCACCGUGAUCAUAACCAUGACAAGAAACAAAAUAAUGGCCAGAAGUCGAUUGAUAAGAAAAAUAAUAAGAAGAAAAAUUAUGAAAAUAAAUGCUACAGAUAUGGUAUGUUGAUCCCAUACCUGUCGUAUGACUGAGCAUCUUGUUGAACUUUAUUAGACAUCAUUGAAAAUGAAAGAUAAAAUGCUGAGAUAAAUUUCAUUGAUCAAAAGAAUAUUUGUGAUGAUGGUGAUAUCUAUAUUGAACUGGAUUUGCUAAUAUUAGUGUAAAUUUUAAAUGGAAAAUCUGGUUGUCCAUGGAGUAUUUAUAAGGAGGUGUAGCAAAUUUUUGCCUUGUCAGCUCAUUUUUUGUAGGUUAGACACUGCUUUCGUCAGGCGAACCAAGUUGCCAAUGCUUUAUCAAUGUAGGGUAUUCUCAUGUUGGAGAGGAGAUUUAUCCGGCAAUAUCAUCAUUACCUCCGCUUGCUAGAGAAGCCACAUGUCUAGAUAGGUUAGGCAUUGCGUCUAUUAGGAAGAUUCCGCACAAGCAGGUAGGGGAGUAGACCUCUGUAUCUUAUGAAGCAUCAUCAAUUGUAGUCACCCAAUUUAUAUAAUAAAAUGGGGAUUGGCAUCCCUCCCCGUGGCCGGGGUUAGCCCAAAAAAAAAAAAAAAAGAAGAUGAUAAAUAUUAAUUUAACACAUUUUGAAGUGGCCGAUUUCUUUAAGCAUUCUGAAGAUGCAAAAUGACCAUCCUAAAGAUGCAAAAUGAUAUGACAUAUAUCCGAUGAAUGUUUAAAUUUUUGUUAUUUUAUUAUUUUCACAUCUUUUAUGUAAUUUACUUUAUGAGUUAUGUAAUUUAUGAACUUUAUUAAUGUUUAAUUUUAUUUUCUUUGUUAUUUUUUCUUUGAGAAGAAAUGGAUGCCAAAUAUUUGGAACUAAAUAAUGAUGAUGACGAAAUUUAUCUCAUUGACAAUGCAACUACACACACUAUAUUCAAACAUGAAAGGUAUUUUUCCUAUUUAGAUAUGGGAAAAACAAAUGUCAAUACCAUAUAUGGUAGUGCUAAAUUGAUUGAAUAUUCCAAAAAGACACUAUAUCUUUCACUAAAGGAACUAUAAUUGUAAUAAAUAAUGCAUUAUUCUCUACUAAAUUUCAAAGAAAUUUGUUAUGUUUUAAAGAUAUCCACCGAAAUGGGUAUCAUAUCAAGAUAAUAAAUGAGACAAAUGGUGAAUAUUUAUUAAUUACAAAUAUCACUUCUAGAAAGAAAUAUGUAUUAGAAAACCUUCACUUUUCUCUGACUUAUAUUAUACAAAUAUAAGUACAGUUGAAAUGCAUCACCUGGUAGAUUAGAAGUCUACUAAUCCCAAUGACUUUAUGAUUUCACAUGAUUGCUUUGGACAUCCUGAUUCCAUAAUGAUGAGGCAAAUAAUCGAGAAUUCAUAUGGCCAUUCAUUAAAAGGUUAAAAAGUAUUAAAUUCUAAUGAAUUGCCAUGUGUUGCUUGCACUCAAUAAAAAUUAAUUAUUAGAUCAUCACCAGUCAAGGUAAGAAUUGAAUCUCCAUUUCUAGAAUGAAUUCAUUGUGAUACAUGUAGGCCUAUAAAUCCACCAUGUGGACCAUUCAAAUAUUUUGUAAUGCUAAUUGAUGCAUCAACAAGAUAGUCACAUGUAUGUUUAUUAUCUAUUUACAAUCUAGUGUUUAUGAGAUUGCUUGUUUAAAUAAUUAAAUUACGAGCACAAUUUCCUGAUUAUCCGAUUAAGAGAAUUCGUCUAGAUAAUAUUGGUGAAUAUUUGUCAUAUGCUUUUGACAAUUAUUAUAUGUCCAUUAGAAUAACUAUUGAAUAUCCUAUAACUAAUGUUUAUACACAAAAUGAUUUAAUCGAGUCAUUUAUUAAAUGACUACAAUUAAUUGCUAGAUUAUUGCUAAUGAGAUCUAAACUUUUUCUAUCUAUUUGGGAACAUGCUAUAUUAUACGUAGCAACACUUAUGAGAAUUAAACCGACAAGUUAUAAUACUUAUUCUCCCUUACAAUUAGCAUUUGGUGGUAAGCUCAAUAUUUCUCAUUUGAGAACUUUUGAUUGUGCAGUUUACAUUCCAAGUGCACCGCCUCAAUGUACUAAAUUGAAAGAGUAUAAGUCACCUUUUAUAAUUAAAUAUGUUUAACCGUUAACUGGUGAUUUAUUUACUGCAAGAUUUACAAACUGUUAAUUUGAUGAAUCAUAUUUUCUGACAUUAGAAGGAGAAAAGGAUCAACCGAAAAAGAAAAUUACUUGAAAAAUAUCAUUAGAUUUUCUUGAUUCUUGUACAAAAUAAUGUGAAUUGGAAGUUCAAAAAAUUAUUCAUUUGCAAAAAAUUGCAAAUCAAUUAUCAGAUGCUCUUAGUAAUGCCAAAAAGAGUUAUUAAAUCAUGUAUUAUUGUAGAAAAUGUUCCAGUUAAAAUUAACAUCCAAAAGGACAAUUACAAGUGCUAAUGAAUCUAAAGCACACCUAAAAUGUGGUAGACCUUUUGGUUCUAAAGAUAAAAUUCCUCAAAAUAAAAGAGAAUUAAAUAACAAUAAAAUCAAGGAGUCAAUAAUUGAUCAUAAAUUUUAAAAUACUGCUAGUGAUAAAAUUUAACUUACUUAAGAGGUUGCUCCUAAAGAACAUAUCCCUGAAGAUGAUCAAAUUAUAGAAGCUUCAAUAAAUUUUGUUACUAUAGGAAAAAUUUGAAACUGAAAAGAAAUAAUUAUUGAUGAUAUUUUUGCAUAAAAUGUGGCACUUAAAAUUAUGAAAGAAGAUGAGAAUCAUAAACCUCGAUCGGUUGAUAAAUGUCGGCAAAGAUUUGAUUGGCCGAAAUGGAAAAAUGUUAUCCAAUCUAGAUUGGACUCAUUGGUUAAAAGAAAAGUUUUUGAACUUGUAGUCCAAACAUCUGAAGGUGUAAAUUCAGUGAGAUAUACAUGAGGGGUAUUUAUAAGAAAAAGAAAUGAGAAAAAUAAAAUUAUAAGAUACAAAGCAAGGCUUGUAGUCCAAGAAUUUUCACAAAGAUCUACAUUUGAUUAAAAUAAGAUGUAGUUACCUGUAGUAGAUGUGAUCACAUUUAAAUAUCUUGUGAGUUUAGCAGUGCAUGAACAUUGAGAUAUAUGUCUAAUGGAUGUAGUCACUAUUUAUUUAUAUGGGAAUCUUGAUAACGAUAUCUACAACAAAAUUCCUAAAGGAUUCAACAUGCCCGAGGCAUAUAAAUUAAAUUCUAAAGAUAUUUGUUCUAUUAAAUUGCAAAUGUUUUUGUAUGGGUUUAAACAAUUUGAAUGUACGUGGUAUAACCAUUUCAGUGAAUGUUUAAUUUAAGAAUGUUAUACCAAUGACUCAAUAUGUCCAUUUACUUUUAUAAAGAAAAAUGGGUCAAAUUUUGUAAUUAUCGCAGUGUAUGUUGAUGAUCUUAAUUUAAUUGGAACUCUUGAAGAGUUCCAUAAGGUUGUUGAGUAUUUGAAGAAAUAAUUUGAGAUUAAAAUUUUUGGAAAGACUAAAUUUUGUCUUAAUUUACAAAUUGAACAUUUGGAAGGUGAAAUUUUUGUCUAUCAAACUACUUAUACCCAGAAAGUAUUAAAGCAGUUUUAUGUGGAUAAAGCACGACCAUUGAGUACUCUGAUGGACAUCAUGUUUCUUGAUCCGGAUAAGGAUCCUUUUAGACCAAAAGAGGAAGAUGAAGAUAUUCUUGGUCCUGAAGUACCAUAUUUUAUUGCAAUUUGUGCACUAAUAUAUCUUGUUAAUUGUACAAUAUCAAAUAUAUUAUUUGCUAUAAAUUUAUUAACAAGAAUUAGUUCCUCUCCUAUAAGACAACAUUGGAAUGGUGAAAUUGAUGUGCAACAGAUCCAAUCUGAUAAAAUCUUGCAUAUUUAUUUACCAAAACAUUGCCGACUGCAACGUUUAAAAAAUUAGUGAACAAUAUUGGAUGCAUCGGCUAAAAGAUCUCAAAUAACAUUUGAAUUAGGGGGAGAAAUUUAAAUACAAGAAUAGUGUACUCUUUUUCCUUCACUAGGAUUUUUUUUCCACUGGAUUUUUUCUAGUAAAAUUUUAAUGAGGUAUAUUCUUUGUGUAAUAGACAUCCAAGGGGGAGUGUUAUGAAAUAAUUAAAUAUUGUGGAUGUUUAUCAUAUUUAUCUUAUCUCCUAGAUAGUGACAAGUUUUUCACAUUUUUUGAAGUGAUAAAGUUAUAACGACUUUUGAAGUAAUAGAGAUGACACGACUUUUAAUAAAACUAUUACGACUUUUGAUAAAAUUGUAUGACUGUCGAUAAAACUAUCACAUCUUAUGAUAAGAUUGUAUUACUAUCUUGAAAAAGUUUGCUGAUGCACUUUUCCCUGUAAAUAAGGUUUGCCCUCCUUUGUAUCAAAGUGAUAGAAAAUUGAAGUUUUAUUUGAGUGAAUGGAAGAAUAGUUCUUUCUCACUUUUCUCUUUUCCUGAACUCUUUAAUUUUCCUUACUUUCUUAGUAUAUUAUCCACCACAUAAACAACUCCAAUCCUAUAUCACAUUAGCAUUAGUUUUAUAAUAAAAUGUGUUUUGUGGGCUUGUAGCAUUUAGUCAUUACAGGGGCCUGUAUAGCAUUUAGUCAUUAGGCAUUUAGCAUUUAGUAUAGUUUGGCAGACAUUGUAAACAAUAGUAAUUUUUUUUCCAUAUUUUUAUAGUAUUGGAGUUUUAAUUUUGUUUCUCUGUGACAGGUUAUGGCAUAAAAAUUAUUCUAAAAAGAUUUUUUAUUUAACCUUUCAUUUGUUUCUUUUAGUGUUUUGAUCUUUAUCACUAAUUGAGUCGUGAAUACUGCAAGCAUGGUCAAGUUUGGACCGAACUUUGGACCGAACUUUGGACAAGUUCGGUCUCGCAUUCUUUUUUGUUUGGGUAAAGUUAGGAAUCUUAGUGGAUAGUAUUUUUUUUUUAUUAUUGAGUAGUUAUUCAAUACACUAGCAAAGAAAUGGUGUUUGCGUCAUUUUUAUUUGAAUUGAUGUUGAUUAUUAAUUGGAUUAUGUAUGAGUAAAACCGUUAGAAAGAACUGUAGGUGUACUUUUUUUUUUUUUUCAAAUGUUUAAUUCUUUUCAUAUUGAGAAGAAUGUAGUUUUUUUCUCAUGUUCUAUUUUUACUUGUUAUUUAUUAUUGGAACAUUUUAAACCUGUUUCUUCCUUGCUUGAUUGUGGGUUUCAAGUUGUUUCUUAAAGCACCUGGUCAUUCUUCCAAUUGUUCUCUUGUUGUAGCGUCCUUCUGAGUUUGACUUGUGGAAUGAGAUAUACUUGUUUUAUCAACUAAGUACAAUCAAUCAAUAUAAUUAUUGUUUCUUUAAUGAAUUUAUACUUGUUUUUAUCAACCAACUUAAAAAUAGAAAAUUAUACAAAAAAUAAUCAAUGAAUCAAUAUAAUUAUUGAUUCUUUUUCAGCAGAAUUUUGUACGUGUGAUCAUUAGUGCUUAUCACUUAAAAUAAUUUGGUGUGGAUUCAUCCAAGUAAAUUUAUGUAUCUGCAAAUAGAAAUACAAAGCAGAAAGACAAAUGAAAAAAGAAUCGGCUGAUUUUGUUUUUGUCUUUACAAACAAUAAUUGGUAUAUUUUUCUAUUCUAAGGAAAUGUCAUAUAGGAAUUGGCCUAUUAUGUGGGAGUUUAUCUCUUACAAUCAUUUCUUUUGGGUUCCACACAUUGAUGCCUUCCUAGUGUUCUUGAUGUCUUUCUUUUAUGCAUACUUAUUUUUAUUUUAUCAACCAAAUAGAAACAGAAAACCAUAUGAGUAAUGAUCAACACAUAAUGGUUCUUCUUAAAAAAUAAAAAAAAAAUUAACAUUUUUUUGAAUCGAUUUGGUUGGUAUAGAUAACGUAAUUAGAUCUGAGAUUGUUGAUCAUUUUAAGGCUCUUGUGGAAUGGAUUGGUGGCAUGCUAUUCUUGAAGAUCAAUCACUAAAUCAUGGAUGUUAUCUGCAUAUUGAGGUUCUUGCCAAGUUUGUUAGAUGGGAGCUGCAUAUAUGUACGUACAUAUAUACAUCAUAUACCCAAUACAUAAUUUUUGUUUUCCUAUUUUGUGUUGAAAUGUGGAGAUGGUUUGUCUAAUAAGUAAUUUUAGUGAUAAAGUUUGUAAUUUUGAUUAUUUAUAUUUUUUUUUAUCUAAUGCUUGCUUAAGAAACAAACAGUAUCAAAUUAAAUUUCAUUAACGAAUUGUUAAAAAUCGUCCAACACGACUUAAUUUACAUCAUUGUUCAAAUUGCAGAUUUAACAUGUAUUAGAAAUAACAUAUCUAUAAUUUAACAGAUACAAUUAUUUUAUUUCAGUGUGUAGUACAUGUUGGCAGCUUUUUAUAUUUUUCUUCCACUGUCUCAUUAUUGUGCUAAAGUUGCAUUUGAGGAUUAAUUUUAUGUAAUAAUUGUCUUCUCUCCAUCUCUGGUUUUCUGUCACCACUGAAACAUGCAUGACCAAAACUAUGCCAGGAUGAAAUAAUUUAGCAGUAAUUUAUAUGCGGUUGACAAUCUUCCACGAGCAAUUCAUUAAUUUAAUAGUCAACUCUUUUCCUAGCAAACUUAGGCAGAGCAUAGCCACAAGUUAAUUAAAUAAAGAAUUGGUUUGGCUUAAGUUUUGGCCUAUAUGAGUGCUUAUCUAGUCUGCCAAAUAUUUAUUUUACUUUUCUGCUACUAUCAAAAAAUAUUACUUUUUAGCUGGACUGCCCAUAUUUCCCUUUCAAUCUUAGUCAUUAAAUUUCCAAAUUUAAAAUUUUUAGUCACAAAAAUUUUUCUUGAGCCAAAAUCGUCAACUAGUAACAAAAACGUACAGUUUUUUGUACUCAACUAAUAAAGAAGGCGUACAUUUUUUGAUAACUAGAUUGUGUGAAACUGACACUUCUGGUCAAGUGCUGUCUAUUUUAAUUAAUUGAUUGACCAUUUUAGCUUAAAAAAUGUUCAAAACAAAAAAUUUUCAAUAGGUCAGCUACCAUUUGCGCCAUUUCCCUAAUUUCUUAUGUUCUUUAUUUAGAACAUGAAACUUAAGGUGUACAACUUGGAACUGAAAGUUUACUCCAUGGACUUUUUGACCCUUAAUUCAGUUUUUUUUUUCGGUCCCUUCUUCUAAGUGACUCCAAUUCUUUCUUUCUUCCUUUGUGUGUGUGUGUGUGUUUUUUUUUCCUUUUUUUUUUCAAUUGGUGUAGAAAAGAGAGUAAUAUUCACUUACCAUCAGAAGAUUAACUAUAGCAGCAGCUCUCAAGACCAAUACUAUCAGCUGAUUCUUUUCAUUAACACAUAUUUUAAAAGGCACUCUGAUUCUUUUCAUUCCAAUUGGGAGCCAUUUUCUCUUAGGGUACGUUUGGUUCCCAUAGAAUUGGAGAGUAGAAUUGGAAUUGGAGCUCCAAGCUCCAAUUUCAAUUCUUGUGUUUGGAUACUAUCUUUUCUGUAGAAUUAGAAUCGAAUUGCAAUUCCAAAUCGAUCGAAUUCCAUGGUUCCAAUUCUUUGGCUGGACCAAAGAAUUCCAAUUCUAAUUCCACGACUGAACUCCUCAAUCGGGUCAACACGCGGGUCUUGUACGGGCAAAAUCUCAAAAAUGGGUCAACUAUAAAAGUGAUGGAAAAAACUCAAACCUCUCUUCUCUUUCCAUUAUCAAUCGCCAUAUCUAAUGCUCUGUUGGAGCAUUCCUGCCGCCGCCUCCUUCACUUGUGCUGCCUUCACCCAUCACUAAAGGCUUGAACUGAGGCGAUGAAGAAGAGAGAAGAGAGGAGUGGCGCAGGCCAACGUAAGACAGGACCUGAGUCAGCGACGACGUGCCUCUGAUGAUCUGAACGAAGAUCUGGAAGAAGAAAGCCAGCCAGUUUAAUAGUGCUCUCCAAACUUGUAUAGUCUUCGGCGCGUAGACGUCGGCGGAUUGAGCCAGCUCCGCCAUCAUACAAGGCUUUUGAGUUUUGGCUCACUGAUUUUUGUUCUUUUAUAGUUAGUAUCUUAAUUUUCCAGUUAAGUAGGAGUUUAUGUAUGGGUCUUAUAAGAAGUGUGGUGAGGAGUUUUGGGAAUUCAGUCCAUAAUUUUCAGUGGUGGCGUAGGUGCCGACGGAGUUGUGGUCAAGGUGGUGCCUCGACGAAGUGGUUGUGGUGUUGAUUGAGAGAGAGAAAAGGACACAAAGAAAGGGAAAAUGGGAGAGUUAAUGACACGCGUUUGGGGAGGGUGUCUUGGGGGGAUGAAAAAGGAAAAGGAACUUGGACGUUUCAGUUCUAUACUAGUAGUAGUUGAUUCAUUUUACCACUACUUUUCUUGAUUCUUUUAAAAUUUUCUUUCUUUUCCGUUCUUCAACUGUAAAUUUCGGGGCUUUGGCUGAUAUUUUGCCAAAAAAGAAAGUAAUUUGCAUUUUUCCUUUAAAUUUUUAGUAAAAAUUAGCUAAAUGUAAGAAAAAAAAGAAAUUAUUAUAUAAAAAAAAAGAAAAAAAGAAAAAUUUUAUGUAAGCAAAUGUUUUAUGAAAACAAUUCUAAUUCCUAAUGAAUUCUUCUCUCAUCCAAACAAAAAAUUUGGAAUUCCAAAUAAAUUCCGUAUCAAUUCUAUGUAUUUUCCAAACGAAAGAAUUGCAAGGAUUUGGAUUUCUAAUUCAUAGAAUUCAAAUUCUAUAGAAUUUUAAUUCUAAUUCAAUUUCAAUUCUGUAGAACCAAACGUACCCUUAGUUCUGACAAAAUUGUGGUUGGUUUCAGGGAUGCCUUUUGUGCAGAAUCAGAUUAAAAAAUGCAAGUAAAACUGUGCACUUGAAAUGUAAACCUUAUCGAAAUAAUUGAAAAGCAUUAUGUUUAUCAAUAUUUUUCACAAUAUAUUAUUUGAUAAUGCAAUUCAACACUUAAAUUUAAUAUAUUCAAACGCAUUUUAUAACAAAAAAUUAAACAUCUGAUUUAAUUAAGUACUACUGAAUUUACUAGACAAAACUCGCUCCCAAAAAUAAGCGAUAAACUGUUCACUUACCACUGAAUGUGAUAUACAGUAAAAUGUAUUUAAUUUAAUGCUUAACAAUUCAAUAACUUAAUGAAUUCAGACUUCCGACUUCAAUUCCAAACUUUUAUCAAAUGCACCCUUAGUUUUUGUCGAAAUCUUGCUGUUCCAUAUGACUUCCAAUAUGUAUUCUAACACAAAACAAUUGCACUUUCAAGACUACUGAAAUACACAGCUGCUCUCCCUAGAGUCAGAAGCAAACAUACUUCCACUUCCAGAUCCAAUAUGGCAAACAUAAGUAGCAUCAGCUUAGCUCGUUGUGGAGAGGCCAUUUUGAUCAUAACAGGAUAAGUCCAUUGAACGUGUGCUUGUAAUCUUAGCGAACAAAGACGCUAUAAAGGAAGAAAUACAUCAAGAGUCCUCCUAAGAAUUCAAUUUGUUCAACUUUCCACAAUAUUUACAUCCUUUGGUACAGCAACCUAAACGACUAAUUCAUGAAUUCGACACUAAUUUACAGACAACAAACAUGGUCGAUAAACAUUGAAUUCCUUCACUCGUGCUACAAUAUUGAGUAUACCCGUAUGCAUUUCUUUUCUUCGGUUUCUGGCUUCUUCUGGCUUCUGUUCGUCCCCUUCUUCAGGAACGUAACCGACAUGCUGACACUAUAUUAUUUUAAAGAAUACAACAAAAAUGUUUCAGAUAUCUGAAACAUACAAUUCUUUCUUUUAUACAGUGCAGGAACUCAGUUUCCCUGCAAUUCAUGGUUUAAAGCUUGAGCUUUAAAAUCAUGGACCAAAAUAAACAUUUUCUCAGCUUUUCUGAGAUUCUUCCAUUUCAAUUCGGGACAUAUAGGAUGACACUAUGCCAGCAACCCUGCCGAACUUUGGUAAAUUUGAUCAACAUGGGCAACAGGCACAUAAACUGCAUCCCGCAGUGUGCUGUGCAUACGGCCGUAGAAAAGAUAUACAACCAUUCCAAUGAACAGCCAUACUGAUACUCGGAUCCAAGUUGCAGAACUGCACGUGCAAGCAUAAGCAUGAGCAGCAGGAUGAAAAUAAUACAAACAGCAGUCAUUAGCUAUGAAGCUGUUGACACAUUUUGCUAUAAAAAUCAAUCCCUUUUAUAUCUUGGUGACCAACAAAUGAAGGACCAGAGACAAAUUCCAAAUGCUGAACUUGAGAUUCCAAAGACAAUAAUUUCAUCGAAGUAAACAUAUAGAGAGUCCAGUAACUGGGGAGUUAUUAACGUCAGUAUUGAAGAUCAUAAAUAUAAGAAAACCUGAGUAAAACUCCACUAAAAAGAUAUCAAGUGCUUCUUGAUGGAGAAUCGUGACUAGUGAAGAGCCAAAAGAAUAAGAACUAGCUAAGUACUCACCCAAGAUUAAUCAACAAGUACGCGUUGAUGAGAAUGCAGGCAAUUGGUAGCAGCGGGACAAAUGGGCAAAUGAAACCUGAGCAAGGGAAAGAAGGAGAGACUUUAGGACACUUUAACUCCCACAGACAGCUUAAGUAAGAUAUCAAAAUCACUACAGGUCAAUAUUUUUGAAGAACCGAACACAAACAGAACCAUGAGUUCUAUUUUAUGUUCAGCUCUUCAAAAACUUCUAUUUUCGUUUACACAACAUCACCACUAAAUCAUGUCCAUAAAUGAGCUUAUUCAUUUUUGGCAAAUAUUCAGAGAAGAACCAAGCCAUACUAUGGCAAUAAUGAAAGCAUUAGAUACGCAAAUCAUCUCUAAGUGUUGGAUCCAGCUAACAUAUAACCAGAGCAUACCUCCUGAGUGCCCGAAAUUGUGUCUAGCUUCAUCUUGGUCUAUGAAAGUCAGAACUACCAGACCAGAUAAAAGAAGAACGCCACCAAUUCCACAGGUUGUAUACCGAAGAUAACUGGCAAAAUAUCAGUGGGUUAUGAAUUACACAAUUGUAUGAUAAAAGCCCCUGUGCACUCAACCUUCUCCAGUAUUUUUAACAUUCCAAUCAUACUUUUCUGGCCUUUCAUUGAGUAAUUACAUAAUCAACCUUUGGAUAUUACAGUAUCACAAAAUUACCCACCUUGGGAGGCCCAAAUUUGAAGCAGCAUAUGUAAGCACAAGCACACCAACACAAGUAAACAUAAUGGUCCAGCCAGCAAUUUUCCUUCUGUUCUCCUCAUUUACAACAACUGUGAAAAGCAGAAAACAAUAAUCAAUAUAUGGAAAGUCAAAUAGAAGUACAGGAAUGACUUCUCUAUAUAUCAAAGAAAUAGUCUCAUAAACCAAGCUUGUUAACCCAAAGGCGAGAAAAUUUUGGAUCUUCAGAUCACUUUGUAAUCUCAGUAAACUCUCUGACUAGAAUUUGGAAAAAAAAAAUUACAUUUCUGACAAGAAUGCUGAAAACUUACAGCAACAUUUUGCAUCUGAUUUCUCUAAUAGAGGAUGUUCAGCGGCUCCCUGCUUGCAAACUAAAAGUGGAGUGCUUUCACAAGAGGAUAUGUGAACUUUAGGAUUCUCCACUUCAAUUAUCCCAUUAUUACUGCUACAACCAUAUUGCACAGCUACUGAAUCUAUUGCAUCCUGAAAAGAUGGAGGAAAUGGAACCACAUCCGGUGGAACGUAUCUGAGUAUCAGCACAGAAAUCGCCACCAUUGUAAAUGCAAGAAGUGUGCCAACACUGACCUGCAAGAAACUAAAUCCAUCAAGAAAUGCAACUCCACUAUACAAAUUAACUCCAAAGUCUUAUGAAUUCAGCAAGGACUCUGUCCAGAAGAAUUAGGUAAAUUGGGUCUUGUGGUUCUUGUUCCGGACAUUUGGCUAACCAUGAGGUAAUAGUAAGUUCUUGCAUGAAGAAAUGAGUUCAGAACAGUGACACAAGCACAUUGAUUCUGCAUAACACACCCACCUGAUCGUGCACACGAAUAGAGCAAUCCUGGAAAAUUAUUAUUUCAGAGCAAUAAUAAGCAUACCAUUCCUGCCAACUGAUCGACAUCCAUGAAGAACGCUAAAGUUCCAGAAAGCAAGCCAGUCACAACAGUGCUUUUGACAGGAACUUGCGUCCGUUUGCUAACAUCAGAAAAAAAUGAAGGAAGCAAUCCAUCACGAGCCAUUGCCAUAAGGAUUCGAGGCUGAGAAAUAAGACAAAAUAUUAUUAUGUUUUCGUGUGCAAAUGGGCCUUUUUUUUAUAUACAGAGAUAGAGAGGCAUAGAUAGUAGCUAUACCAACGAGGCAACCAGUAAAAGAUAAUAAUCUUCUUAACAAUUUGUAUCGACCGAACUAAAAUGUGAACAUCAUAAAGGUGCAACUUUAAGAGUUGGCAAGUCAAAAAUCAUAGUUAUACCUGAGGCAACAUAGAACCCAUCAAUGUUGAGCAAAGAGCAGUACAAGCUCCAACAGUUAUUAUAUAUCUUAAUAGAAACAAAACAGAGAAGUAUUAGGUAAACUUCAACAUGCAAGAUUUACCUCACAUGCCUAAUAUCUAAAAAAAAAAAAAACUGAUGCUCAUUGAAAAUGUUACAAAAUAAAUUUACAUACGCUGCCCAGUUGAUUCCAUGAGUAGCAAAUGCUGAAGAGAUAGGAGUGUCAGGAUCCAUUGAGUAAUAAGGAACCAAGCCAACAAUUACUGCAGAGACCAACAUAUACAGCAUGCAACAUAUAGACAGUGCGAAGCCAAUCCCCAUUGGCAAAUCUCUUUGAGGAUUUUUAACCUGUUAGAAAGUUAAGAGCUCAAAAUAGAAUGACAUGACUCAAUAAAUCUUGCUGAAAAAAAAUACCAAGCCAAAUCAAAAGUACCUCUUCAGCUGUACUAGCAACUGAAUCAAAUCCAAUGUACGAAAAGAAGACAGUGGAAGCUCCAGCAAGCAUUCCAUCAACCCCAAAAGGGAAAUACCUAACAAUCCAUAAAAGAUGAUGACAAAAUUGAUUACAGAUACUUUAAUGAAACUGUAACUAUAAAAUUUCUUACCCAAGAGGAAGUUCAUAACCCGGCCAUCCAGUCUUGAAACCCAAAUAUCCACCAACUACAAUGACAAAUAUCAUUGCACAUAUGUUUGCACAAGUAACAAUUCCUUGUACCAGUGUACUCUGCCAAAGUAUUUUGUGUAAACAAGAUGAAUAAAAUCAAUUCGAAAGAAUAAUCCAGGAACUACUCAGAAGAUAUACCUCCCUGAUUCCAACACAUAACAGUCCAGUGGCAACAAAAACUAGAAUUGUUGCACUUGGGUCAACUACAAUAUUAAGCCCAGGGAUGGUUUGACGGGCAAGAAAAACAGGGAGCCUAUCUGCACCUCCAAAGAGCAAUGCCUGUCAAGUGAAAGAAUAAUUAAUCAACUUCCAGAAAAGAAGACAGGACCAGCAUACUUCUGAAUCCCCAAUCAUCUAAACACAUGAUCAAUAAAGGCGAUGAGACGAGUAGUGGAAGUCUAUUCAAGCAAUAAGGAUUUCAUUUUGUUACUCAUUAUUCAGGCCAUAGGCUUUGUCCCUAUAACACUAGUCCAAAGAGUCACUAAAAUGAUUAUAAAUGGAGAAGAGUAAUAAGACACACCACCAGAGUAUUAUCCUACUGAAGGAAAGGUCAAACUGAUAUAUGCAAGCAAUUCAUACUUAUUUAAUUAUGAUGUGGUUGCAAAAAUGAGAAGUGAGCAGCUGACACCAAAAUUAAUAAAAUUGAUAUUACUAGACUGGCUCAAAAAACCAAAAUAAACCAACUAAAGCAUGAAGUUUGAUGAGAAAGCAUAAUACCAAAUUAGGGGAUAUGCCACGAGCAACUGCAGAGCCUCCAAUGGUGUAUUCCAAUAUCAAUGCCCAACCGAUGAGCCAAGCAACCCUGUCAAAUAUUUGGUUUUGAAAAUCAACAACUAAAUGAUCACAAACCUCAAGAGGAAUGACCAGAUUGAUGCCAUUGACAUUCUGAUUUUCUAAGCACCAUUCCGAUAUGCCAUUGACAUUCUGAUUUUCAAGAGAAUAUUUUGCAAUUUCAUAAUCUAAUUAUGCUUAUUAAAAACUUAAUUGAAAAAAAAGUUACGUCCAAACUACUUUAUUUGCAAAAUAAUGCAUAAUUAAACACCUACAAGCAUGAAGAAAUUACCCUUCCCCAACACAAAUGUAUGAAUAAUGAUAGGCACUUCCAGCUGACGGACAGCGACUAGCAAGCUCAGCAUAGCAGAAGGCAGAAAGGGCAGCUGCUAUACCAGCUAUUAAGAAGGAAAAAGUGAGGGCCGGCCCAGAAUGCUCCCUGGCAACUGUACCAACAAGAAUGUAUACCCCAGCUCCAAUGGUUGAACCAACUCCUGAAAAUUGAAGAACCAAGCAACAUGAACAAGUUCUAAAUCAUUAAAAUCAAUCACUUCAUCAACACGUGUAACCCAAUAACUAGCUGCAAAAUUUAACGUUGUUUGAGUAUAUUACGGUAAAAAUUCAAUUUUGAGCAUCCAUGUUUGUCAAUAUGGUCCUUGGUAAGUAUGAAUCAAUAUAAGUCAGUACAAAAAGCUAAAACAGGAUUAAAUCAGCCAACAAAUAAGCUCUGAACAAUAUGUGAUCUAGAAAAGAAAAAAAAGUACAGGAAAAAAGAUUCAAAACAAAUUUAAACUAAAGAAAAGACGUUCAGAAGAUUUUUAUCAAAAACAGUUACCUAUGGCAAUGAGAUGAGGAACGGUCAAAGCCUUGGCUAACUGAUGAUGAUGGUGAUGAUGAUAAGAAGGUUCACCAGAAGCAGAAGAUGAAGACUUUGACUCAGCAGAAUCAACCAGUUUCCUCCUUAUUAGACCUUUCAACAAUCCUCCUCCUCCUCCACCACUACCACCAUAUCCAUUCUUUUGCGAAUCAGAAGCAACAAAGGCCAUCACUAUUUGCCCAAUUGGGUACCCAAAAAUUCAAUCUUUUCCUUUCUUUUCAACCUUCAGCCCUACAAAACAUUCAAUUCCCCAAAUGGGUUUUCAAAUUUAUGGUCCUUUUCCCAAGUUCCAACCUUCAGCUCGGGGAUUGCAAAAUGAAAAUUCAAUCUUUUAACCAAAAUUUUCCCCUUAUGCUGCAAGAAGAAAAGGGUUGCUGGUACACGGUUAGAGAAGGAGAAUUCUGCAAAUCCCAGCGGCCCAGAAGAGAGAUUCGGCAGAGAUUCUCUGUGUGUUAGGCCCCGGGAAGCAGACGUGAAGGGGGGUGGGGGGAGGGGUUGCGGAUAGAUUCAGCAAUGCUUACAUAGAAGAAUCCAGCAAAGAAUCUACUUUAAGCAAUGAUGUAUUGAAUUGAAUUUACAGGGGAACUAGUCAUGCUAUGUGGGCACGGCAAUUGGGUUGUUUCUCUGUGGGAAGAGAUCAAUUAUUAAUUUACUUAGUCAUGCUAUGUGGGGUCUCUCUGACACGAGUUAGUUGGCAAACGUCAGCAUGUUUGUGACAAAAAGGAAACCUAUGGAAUUAUUAUUAGGGUCGUCAAACAUUCAAUGGUUUUAGAUUCAAAUGGGACUGAGAGAAAAGGUCAAGAGAGAUUCAAAUGGGACUAAGUAAGAUGUUCACCACAUUGUUCAAACAAAGCAAAUUCACGUGUGGUGGGCAUAAACGGGUGCUUUCCUAGCAAGGGGAGCGAGGGUGAGCUUGGAUUGGAUGAGAGUUUUGGAUUCUCGAAACGGAUACUCAUAAAUAAGAGAUGGCAAGAGUUCCUUCCCCACUCUAAUUUGGUUUUGGGUGGUUUUGUUGUUGUUGUGUUGGGGAGUUGGGGGGAUUUUUUCUUUUUUCGUUAUAAUAAAGUUUUAAAAAAAUAAAUACUUAGAUAUAAUUUUAAAGAUAUAGACAUUAUAAAUACACAUCAAUAAUAUGUGCACAUAUAUAUAUAUUAUGAUUUAUGAAUUAAAGGUAUCAUAAUUUGUAUGAUAAAAAGAUGAUUAGACUAUUUUAAGUUUAUUUGAAUUUUUUCAUAUAUUGUAAGUUGUUUAUAAAAAAUAAAAAUAAAAAUAAAAUGAUGCUUAUAAGUUCAUAUUUGUUACUGUAUUAAAUAUGGAGAAAUGAAUUCAAAAUAUCAAAAUAAAGUUUAUACUGAUUUCACGUUAAAUAUUUAGCUUAAAAUUUAAAAGAAUGAUUUACAAAAUUAUUAUUGAUAUUACAUAUGUAGAUAAAUAAUGUCAAAAUAAAAAAAUAAAAUUAUAAUUAGCCAAUAGUAGCGGUAAAGGCACUAGUGGGAAUGGGGGGCAAGGAGAGAGAGGGAGAGAUGGGGGUAAGGGAAGUAGGGGACGAGGCGCGGGUCAAGGAGAACUUUACAACAUGGGCGUUCUAUUACCAUUCCUACUAAUAAAACCUGUUGGUAGAACCAAACAAAAAACCAAUAAUUCCAAUUGGUCGCCCUCUUCCUACACUCUCGGGCUCAAGAUUCCAUUCUUUUCCAUUGGCAAAUUUUUACAUGAUUUGCUUUCAGUGCAAAAAAGAUUUAGUUUAAAAUUUGUGCAAAUUCUGUUUAUUUCUUUAGGCGUAUAAAUAUGUGAAAAUUCUUGUUGUCUUGUAAAAAUAUAGGAUCUAAUCUUAUUAAAAUUUUGUGAAUCUUUGCAAGAUUUUGGUGUUCGCAUACGUUUAUUAAAACAUGGAAUUUGUAAUUUUAAAGUGACUGUAGAAAUGCACAAACUAGAAAUAAAAUUGACAAAUAAAUUACUUUUUUCUAUGAACUGCUCUUUGUUUUAAUUUGCUUGACUUGUGUGCGAGUAGAACUGUAAACGAAUUGAGUUAAGUUAGAUAUCUCAUGUUUGAACUCUAUUCAUUAAACUACUCGAACAAGGUUUGUGUUCGCUCGAUAAUUUUCGAAUUUGAAAUCUCUAUUUGUGUUCGCCUCAUUAAUUAAAAUACUAGUUUGAGUUAGAGCUCGGGUUCGCUUCGUUUAACAUAAAUGAGCCAAUCUCAAAUAGGCUCAAGAAGUUCAAAUUCAAGUUCUUUCUCUCAAAUAAUCAAUAGAUUCAAUGCUAAACGAACCAUCUAAUCCUAAAUUUUAUGAAAUGAUAAUUAGGCCUAAAUUCGUGAACGAUCGUUUAAAUUCGCAAACAAGACUAGUGUUCAUUCGAUUACUUAUCAAGCCAAUAUUUUUUUAAACUCGACUCAUAUAAAAGUUUCAACAAGUCGUUAUCGAACACAAACAGCUUAAAUAAGUUGAGCAAUCGAACAGUUUGACUAGCAUAAUAGCGCUAUGUGCGAGAGAGCGAGGAUGGCAGUCCAAUCGCAUAAUAGCACUGUGUACGUUUGUAUGUAUCAUACAGAUAAAAAACUGACCUAGUCUAGGCUUAAUUCUGGACUAAAAUAUACUACAAAUGGCAUAAACGUACAAAACAACAAAAACUUGGAUGAGCAUGAAUUCACAGCCUCUUCAGUUUGGUAUGGAAAAUUAGAGAAUUAAUUAAUAGGAUUGGAACACAAGUUAAGUUGUGCCGUGAAGAAAAAUUGUGCACUGGUGUGCUGGCUAGGAUCAAUAUUAGCUUGCAGUUUGAAUUUAUAUGUUUGUUCUUCGAUCCUCAAGAUUCCUUGAAAAUUUUGUUAAAAAAAAUACGAAUCUUAUGGGUGCAUUCUAUAUUGGAGAUAUAGCUUAGUAUUCUUUUUCCAAAAUGCCACAAACAGUUGUCCUCAUUUUAACUCGGAAUGCAGCAUCAUUUUCCCCUCUAUUACUGAGAAAAAAAAUAUCAUAGAGAUGCAUGACUGCGUAAGCUUAGUUAUGGACUAGGCUUAUUCUGCAAAUGGCAAAUACGUUUGAGAGCAUCAAAUAGCUUGUCUGAGCUUUUCUGUGUAGCUUGAGUAUAUCGACUGUUGCAACAUUAAAGUAAAAUUGGCAGAUAAUGAAUAGGUUAUCGCUGCAAUCUCCUCGUGUCAAUCACCAAAGUACCCGCAUGAGAAUUCAUUCUUCGAAAUUAUAAUUUUUUUUUCACUUUAUAAGCUAAACUUUUAUUCUCUACUUGUUGCACCAUUGAACUCCAGAAGUUCAGGUCACAAGGUCCAUACGUAAUCUUCCCUGCAAUUACCUAAUAAUGGCUUCGGAAGUAUGAUUGCUAGGAUCUUUUAGAUAUUCCCAAGUUUGAUUAUGGACUAGAAUUAGUGGAAAUGUGUACAUGGAAAUCAUGUCCAAGAAUUUCACAGAAAUAAUUGAACAAGAUUUUAUGUUGUUUCCUUUUCUUUUUAAUAAAAGGCAUAUCACAGGGCAUAUGGGGAUGUAUAAUCCGGCCAUCAACCAUAUUUGUACAAUUUGAAACUAAAAUUUUUGCACUCUUGGAGCCUGUAUUCUAGUUCUUUUAACAGCUACAACGUCUAGAAUAAGCAAUUCUUGUCAGCAAAUUGCUGGGUGAAAAUUGGUUUCCAGACACAUUUUGAUGCCAUCUAGAACAUGGUUCAAAGACUCGACCGAGACAGAGAUGACUCGACCGGGUUGUCACUGGAAUGGGGCUUUUCGUUCCGAUAUCGAGACGAGAUAACUCCGAAAUAAUGAAUCGCCGCGAACUCGGCUGAAUCACCCAGAAAUCAGCCGAAACGAUUUCGAGAUGGAUAGAAAUGGUCGAAUCGCCCCGAGUCAUCUCGAGUCAACUCGAAUUUUUAUUAUUUUUACUAAUUUUUUAAUUAUUUUUGUUUAUCAUAUUUUUUUACAAUUUUUAGAAUAUUAAAUGUUUCAAAAAUUUGCAUCUAGCUGAGACCGUGACUAAUAUGUCGAAACUGAUGUAAAACGGUUCGGACCACAACCGCAACUUUGAACCAUGAUCUAGAAGGGAAAUCCAAAAAGAAAAUGAGCACACUGGAGGAUGUUUCUGUGCAAGGGUUUAGCUGUAGACGAUCUUAAGUUCUUUCUCUCAACCUAAUGAUUUGUUGAAAGGAAUUUGAAGGAAACAACUAUGAGUGGCAUUUAUCAAGAUUGCAUUCUUGAGGUCUAGGCUUAUUUUUAUAUUUCUAUUUCACUAAUGUCGAUACAUAAGAUUAAUUUCAUUGCUUGAUUGUUUUUGGGCUGCAAACCACUACCGACUGCAAAGUCUAUUGUUACCAGAUUUAAAAGUUUCAUUAUGAUUGGAAAGUUGGUACAUUAUUUGUAUAUUGUUAUAGGAAUCCCAUCCACCUUUCUGCUACGAAAUAGAACUAUAGGUUUACUGGUUGAUUUCCGGAUUAAUAUCUGCCAAUUCACCAGUGAAAUCAUCGUCUGCUGGUUCAACCUUAUUCUUGGGAGCUAAGAAUCCGGGUGCGUUUUUCUGUUUAAGCUGCUUUUCAAAUAAUUGAUCUUUGCCUCGCAUGACAUCUCUCCAUGGUACAGGUUCACUGGCCGGGUGGUCCAAGUCUGCCGAUCCUCGAGAAGCAUAGCCCCAUGAUUCACUGGCCUGCUUUUUGAACAGUUCAUCGGUUCGGUGAUCCAAGUCCCAUGGUUCACUACCUGGCUUUUCGAAUAAAUCAUCUCCGGCUCGAGUGACAUACCCCCAUGAUUCAGGUUCACUGGCUGGGUGCUCCAAGUCUGCUGGUCCUGGAGGAACAUAGCCCGAUGAUUCACUGGCCUGAUCUUUGAACAAUUCAUCAGUUUGGUGAUCCGAGUCCCAUGGUUCACUAACUGGCUUUUCCACUAAAUCAUCUCCGUCUCGCGUGACAUAUCCCCAUGGUUCAGGUUCACGGGCUGGCUUCUCAAGUAGUUCACUGGCUUGGUCAUCAUCAUGUUUCCAGUCAUCAACUGGUUGAAUGCGGUUUUCAGUGGGGAGUGCUGAUGGUGAUAUUCCUUCACUGGGAUCUAAAAGGAGUCUACUAUGAGCAGAACCAACAGAUAAAAAUAUCAGAAGCAGCAUUCCCAUGCUAGCAAGAUCUCGUGAAGCCAUAGCGAGAUCUUGCAGUUAUUGCCAAACUGAAUUGCAAUGACAUAUCUGUGAAUCUUUAGGCUUUAUAUAAAGGGCACAAUCAGAGAGUUGUUCAGUGGUUAGAGGGAACUGAUUGCGUGACUCGAUAAAAGCACGGGCUGAAAACUGCACCAGUAGUCCUGGUAUUACGGAGUCAUGCAAUUUGUGUGGAAAGUUAUCUACAAGUACAAUGGCUGAUAUUACUGCCCACAAGAUUUGAGAUUAAUGCCUUCCAAUGAAAUUAUUUCCAUUGCAACAGCAUCAGGAGUGUGACACUAAGAAUCUAAAGAGGGAACCCUCUUGCAAGGAACCAAAUUCUUGUGUCUCACAAGACAUUAAUUUGUUUACUCACGGGUGUUUGCAUGAAAAACUACAAGUACCAUCCAGCUAGUUAGUCGUUGUGGGAGAGAACAUACUGGCUUACACAAGUAAGUGAAGCAUGCCUUAGAGAACGCUAUCCAGGACAAAAGCAAUGACACUUUGUGGUCUGAGACUUCUGUACAUCAACCGCAUCAGAUAAUUUUACAAACAAGCCUUCUUCCUAAACACUAAAAUAAGAAUGACCCUAUGUCACUACAAUUUGAAGACACAAAACAAAGUAAUGAAUCCGAACUAGGGCAGCAACAGAACAGAGCUCAUCUUUCAGAACAAGAGCUUGAAUAUUUCUUUCAAUGUUAGCUCUAUUCUAACAUAAGACAAUUAAGGACAGGCCAAUACACAUUUAGAAAGAUACUCUCUGCAGUCCCCUAAACACUGAAUAAUUUUGUUGUAUACUAAAUGUUUAACACGUUUUGUAAAGCUUACAGAAAUUGGUUGAAAUUGACCAUAAAGCACCAACCUCUACGACCCAGUCACAGUUAUGUUAUGCGCAUGAUUCAAGCAUGCCAAAGCAACCAAACAUCUAAAGUCUAAACCCACUAUAUUACUCCAAAAGAACAAGUAAAUCAUUUAUUAAAACUAACCAAUG
rnacentral:lncRNA from 1 species